rnacentral:lncRNA from 1 species
UCUAAGAGUAUCGUCAUAGUCUCACACACAACACACACCAGAUACAAGAGAGAAAGUAAGAGAAGAGAAGAAUGAGUGGGAAUAUAAGCACCAAAAAGACACACAAUAACUCCUGAAUAUUUCUGUACAAUAACAGUGAUACAGUUUUUCAGCUUAUCAUACAUGUGACCCUCACAUCUUACUGUUGGAAAAGUCGUACCUCAGAUUUACUCGUAUGAAACAUGAACCUAAUUUAAAGCCACCUUAUUUUCCUUGGUCAUCGUUGGCACGCACUUACCUCUGCAUCCACCCCCAGACGGGAUCAUCUCUUUCUGAUCUAUGCAUCAGAUGAACUGCUGUUGAUGAUGAUGUACUGUUGUGCUUAUAACCAUAACAGCUGGCUUAUCAUCAAGCCGAAUAAAAAUCCACAAUAUUUCUCAUGAUUUGUACCUGGGAGGUGAGGCACUUUAUAUAAUGGGCAGUUUCAUCGAACAAGCUCAACACAUCCAUAACUUCACCUCCCGGAACGAGCUUCCGAAGUUCUUGAUGAGCUUCUUCAAGACCAACUGUUGACCCUUUGCUAGGGUUUUCUCUUUCUACAGCAUUUGAUGAGCUUCUUCCCUUAAUGCACGAGAUUUGUUUCGCUUGACAAGCCAACGGUUCAGCCCUCGAUUCCUAAUCUUCCAGAGCAAAGCACGGCUCCAUGCUCGUUUUGAUCCGACAGCAGAAGCCAUGGAUGCAUAAGCAGCCAUCUUAACCAUGUGAUAGCGUCUACAAGUGUCUCUGAUAGAUGACGAGGUUGAAGAAGUUACAGCACCGGUUCUUUGCUUGUUCAGUUUCUUCAGGGCUCGAAGGAACCGGUAAGCUAACCUGGUUCUGAUCGACCUACGACUCAAAGGGAUGUUCAUGUGUUGAGGGCUCAUCGAGAAGAAUGCUGAGACGAGGUCAAGAAGUAGGGGGAAAUUUAGGGUUUCUGAGGGUACUUUACUUGUUGCACUUGUAGCUGUCUAGGAAGUAAAUAUAUACUUACUUAUAGAUGAUCCGAACUACGAAAGAAGGAAGGGUUUGGUUUGGUUUGGAUUCAUGGGACGGGAUUGAAAGAGAAACAGGCAAUACUAGUAGUGGUGGGAGGGUAUGUACUUGCAGAUAAAAGAUUUUCUUCUGACACAAAGGGGCCUCUUUGCUCAGAAGGACAAAAGGGAAAUUAACAAGUUUCUUGACUUCUGACACAAUAUCUAGUUAUCUACUGUACUAAUUAUAACAUAUAUGAGGAAGAAAGGAAAAAGGAAAAGGAAAAGGUGAGGAGGGAGAGAUUGGGAAAUGUGAGGAAGCAACGUGUGAAGGGAAUGAAGGAAAAAGAAGAUUAGGAAGAGAAGAUUAAGAAUGGGCGGUGAGGAGAGGAGAGACGACUUAAGGGAAUCAAUCUUUAUUGUGUUGGUUGUAUUUUUCAUAGAAUUGAAAUUUUUUAAAUACAAAAAAAAAAAGAAAGAAUUAUAGCUGUAUGCACCCUCCCUCCAUCUUUCGUUUUCAAGAUUUUGGGGUUAAAAAGAGAGUUUUUUUUUUUUUUUUUUUUUGGUGUGGUGUGGGCCUUGAAAGGGCCAACCACCAUAUGAUCGCACAUGGUUCCAUUACCCACUUGAAUGGUGGGGCAUUUUUAGUUUGGUUCCAUUAUUGCAAAGUAUAUAUUUCCCUCAUGUUCUUCUUGCUAUAUAUGUCCUCCAAUUUGUCUGUUUUGGGCGUUCACAACACCAUUUGUGCUUCUUAUGCCAAAAAAUUAGGUAUAGACACGUAAUUUUCAAAAACAAAAAAAAAAAAAAGAAGAAGAGAGAGCGAGAGAGAGGUUGACCCAAAAUUUUUUUGAAAAAAAAACAGAAAAUAAUAAUAAUAAUUAUUAUUAUUAUUAUGUAGAAGCUCUAGGAAAUAUGCCUUUGUUCAGUAAAUAAGCAAGAAAAAAUCCUCAAGAAAUCUUUAACAAUUUAGUUUGCUACAUUCGCAGGUACCAAGAAUCACAAUUGCAGAAAGAAACAAACUACAGCAAUGGUACCUUGAAACUGCACAUACGACUGUUGCUUCCUGAAUUUUUGACUUUGGUAUUAGCCCACUCUAAAAUAUCAAUAUCCAUUAUUUCCUUUCCAUGAGAAUGGAAUCUCAAGUUCUUCAGGAGCUGAAGCAUGUUACAUCGCAUCAACUGCCAAAGGUAAGCUGAAAUUGAAGUCCAAAACUUUGUUUUUAGAAUAGAUUAAAUAUUUUGGAAGUUAGUAAAACAAGAAGUGAACGGUUAAACUUCAUCUAAUGGAAGGACUUGUUUAACGUGUCGAAGACUAGUCCCCAAGAGGUAAAUGUGGAAAAGCACAUACCAAGAAUCAGUUUCUUAUUUCCUUGAACAAUAUCAUUUCCGGCAAUAUUAACCAGCGAAAACUUCAAUUGUUUCCCAAUCUUGACAACUUGGUUACAGUUUUCAACUUUCCUGAAUGGCAUCUUGAUUGGAGGUUUAGAAGCGAUUUUCCAGUUAACAAUACCCGGAGACACCUUGUCGAGCGCCUCUAGAAGCACCCAUCUGCAGGCACAAGGAAGCUACAGAGAAUGAGAAAAUAGAUAAACCCAAAUCCCUGCAAUAGUAUGUGACCGCUACGUGAUUUUGCAGAUCCAAAGUAAAAUGGCACUAUUGAGGAUAAACUUUUUCAUCCCGUUGUGUUGACAAGUUUGUAAAGAUCCAGCAUAUAUACUGCGAGCAGGGUCACAUACCCAUCUCUGACAUCUUCAAAAAUGUUGUCUAUGUAUGUUGAGGUUCCCAGACUAUUUAUCCAAAAUCGAAAUGCUUUCUCCUCUCUGGAGAUUUGGGUGUCAUCUGGCGAUGAUUCAAGAAAAGAUAUCUGUUUUGUUUGUGUAGAGAGACCAUUCCUGCGAGCAGAAUCAUUACUUAGCUACUACAAAAUUAACACUGACAGAUUAAAAGCAAAGACAAAGGAAGGGAAAGCACAAAUACCGUCCUAAAAUGCAUUAUCUAUCAAAGAACAAUCAGACAGCUUCAAAUGGACAGUUUCAUUUGGAAACAACCCAGAAAUAGAACAAGUUGAUCUGUCAACAUAUAUAACUUUCAAAACAUUUGAUCUUUAAUCAUUGUCAUAGCUACAGGAAUUCCUGGUUGAUGAUCCACGAUGCCGGGUUCUAAAUUCUUCAAAAUUUUUCAUUAUGCUCAGGGGGUCGGCUCCUUAGCUAAAGCUCAGAAGGUUGGCUCCCAUGAGAUUCAUAGCAGCACAACGUUAAAUCUUUCUCUAUAAACAAACUUUUCAAAGUUGUCAUGCAUUGCAACAAGUACAUGUUUCAGCAUUUGAAGCUUUAGUUGAGUAUGAAUCAGAAUAACAGUGACAUAGUGCCACAUUUCCAAUUCUAGAGUCUAUUCCCACACUCCACUAGGGCAACUGGAGAGUGGGGCAUUUUAAAUUUUGAAGUAGAUGGCUGGCCUGGUGCCAAAACAUUAUGGAGCAAAGGUACCGAAUAAAAGAUGUCGCUAAAAUAUGAGAAAAAAGCACGGAAACUACACUAAUCAAAGCAUGUUUUUACUUCAAUACACCCUUUUUAAAACCAUGCUAUUUACUGUUGACUUGGGUCAUCAUUUGUGCCAAGGCAAAAUACAUCAACUUCAUUUUGGUCAAGGUACUUGCUACAACCAAAAGAAAAUUGGUAUCUGCUAGCAAAUAAGCAAGGACUCAUCAUAUUGGAAGUAACUCCUUACCUAUGCUGGAAAAUAUGUGCCACGAAAGCAAGGUUAAGAUUUGGAGAUCCUUCCACAAUAUCUUUUGGUGUUAUGUAUCUCUUGCAGCCCAUUCUAUCUGCAUGUUCCAAAACGAGCUUUGCUCUUUGCAAAGGAUCUUUUGUAGCUAAUGUAGCUGGACUACUAUGCUCGGGAGCAAGAAUGUUCAAGAGAUAAGCAUAAGCCUCAGCAUCCUGUAGCCGAAGCAGAUGAAAACCUCAAGUAUCAGGCGCUAUCCCACCAUAAAACAAGUACAUGCAUUUUCAAAGAAGUGGGAAACAACUAACAGGAGAAACUUUUCCUCAUUAUGACAGUAUUUCAGAAGGACUCUCUUUACCAAGUUCUGUUGACCAGAUGUAAGACUGAUUAGAUAAAAACAACGAAAAUCAGCCAGCAAAAAGUUUGAAACUAGAGGCUCUUGCUAAAGGGGACAUUUUAGUUCACAAGAUGGCUGCAUCAAGUGGUGACAGCAUGUUACCACCUUAAAAAUUAUAUAGGCAGUCGAAUCAAGCGUCUAACAAGACAUGAAAAAUGUUUCUCUUGCUGAAAAAGAACUAAUCCAGCAACAACAACUACUUGUUGCGUAGGAACUUCCUUGUGCAAUGUUUCAACAUGGUAUAACUAAAGCUUACGAAAUUAUCAGCCAUUUCAUUGAUGCAUUGUUUAUUAAGAAGGUAGAAGAAGAGACUUCCAUCUGCCUACCAUGCAAACCAGAGUUGAUGAAACCUAAUGUGCAACUUGAAACUUGUGGCUUCUAGUUAUUCUAUACCGUGAAUAAAUGAAAGCCUGAGAGAGGUAAAAAAUUUUCUCAGUUUAAACACAUGGUUGUGAAAAAGUUGAGUUAUUCGAUUGUUCAAAGAACUAGAGCAUUUCAGGAGUAUAAUUUUCAUUUGCAUUCAAACUACAAAGCCUCAGUACACUGAAAGGCACUAAAUUUGAAUAUUAGAUAAUGCAUAUACCUUUACAUCAGAAGAGAAAUUUGUGACUGUUUUCUUGUAUCCUGCUUUUUUUAACUGAAAAUUCAUCCACCUAAGCAAGAUUUUUUCAGGAGCAAGGCUCAUCAACUCCUCAAUGUCCUGGGCAUUGCAAAAGAUAAAGUGGAUUGUAUUAUGGGAAGUAAUUGAUAUUGUUGGAAACAUAAACCUGGAGGAAGAUCUUCACCUUACUAUCAUCAACCAAUUCCACCAAUUGAGGUGUUUUCUUUAAAUUGAGAUCCGCCAGUAGUUGUAUCUAAAGCAUAACAAUUGCAGCAUAAACUUUAGUAUAUUAAAAGACCACAAGAAGUUAAAUUGAUUUGAUAACAACAGUGUCGAGGCUAAACAUUAGAAGUUAUAAUAACCCCUAGGAGGAUUAUACAUAGGAAGUCCUUUCAUCAGAAGUAGAACAUCAGGGUAAGAAUCUUCUCAGCUAAAGAUAAUAAAAUAACUAUUUUCUGGACAGAACAUACCUUUAUAAUCUGUGAUAUCAAUCCAAGAACAAGAUGCCUCUGCGAUACAAAAAUUUGAUGUCAGUAAAGGUUAUCCAGGAGGACAUAAAAGAGAAAUUAAACAAGAGGAAAUAGAGUUUACAGAGUGAAGACAAAUUUAAACAAGAUCAGCCGUGGAAUUAUUUGAUGGAGCAUCACUUCGAUCAUAACUAAAGAAAAUUUAUUCAGGUGGCAUUAAAAAAUUGUUGAGGAAAGAUAUGCUAAUACUAGCAAUUUAGUCACGCAUAAGAUUCUAAGGCCAACCAAAAUUGGAAGACUAGUCAAAUAUUUGUUGAAUCAGAACCAGAAGCCUCAAAAUGUUCCACAAGUUGUUCUGUAGUAAAAGUAAAUUCUUCGCUUUCCAACCUCACAGUUUGAAUGAGCUUAACAGAACCCCAUUUGAUGGAGAAAAAUAACACCACUUUCCUAAACUAGGGAAUGUCAUAUUUGUGCAUGAAAAGUCCACACAAACUGGUUAAGUUGAGGAAGUUCAUCUAGGCUUUAAAUGCUUAUUUAUGAUUUCACAACCAUAAUCAACCAUUUGCUCAACAUGUACUUACCCUUCCUUCAAUAAAGUCUUCAUUUCCUAUAUUGACUACAGUACAUCCAAUUGCCUUGGCAGAGUUGAGGCAAAGAGUAUGAUUCUCAUUUCUUUCCCAUGGAUUGAGUAAUCUCUUGGUAUUUAUUGCCCGCUCAUCAAUUGUUCCUGGCACUGCCACAUUAAUGAGCUUACUGCACAGGAGGAUGAAAAGGAAGAGAAUAUAUCACUAUCCAGUUGACUGUAUUCAACACAUAGACUAGUAAAGCAAGCAACACACUACAAUCACCAGAUAAGAACUCCAUCCUUGGCAAUUUCAAACAGGUCAUUAGUUGAAGGAUCAAUGGGGAGGUAUUUCUUUAUGAACUCAUCCUCUGCAAGAUAGUUAUUAAUGUGUGCCACGUAGGAUGCCUUCUCGGAUUCACUGAUUGUGUGAAGCAAGGUAGAAGUGGGAGACUUGAGGAAAGCAGAUGAAGUUUUUACACUUCCCAUUCUUGCAGAGCCAUGUGCUUGAAGUUUCAAAUAGAUCUGCCAUGAAUUUAAAACAUCUCUCAUGAGUCAAACCAAGUUAAAGAUCAAUGAACUCAUCCUAGCAACUUUUGAAAAUGAAAAAAAAUGAAUGAAAACUGGAAUCAAAUCAGAAUUUUAACUGUCCUCAAUUGAAAACACACAAAACAUUAAACUGAUGUGUAAUCAGAGAAUGUUAAAGAAAUUUUGGUUUUUCGUCCCAGUAGCUUUACUCCAGAAGCAUAAUUUCGGCAAAUUUGUUAGGAUACAUCAGUACGGAUGCUUUUAGGAGACAAAGCUCAAAAAAGCUGAGGAAAAAAAUUUAUCAAGUCCAAUAAAAUUGGAAAAUUAGAUUUGAGUAACUCCCAAAACAUUAAGCUCAUUAAUUUUCUGCAUUCACGUUUUAAAGAUGAAAGUGUCACGAGAAUAUCUAUGUCUAAAUAGCACAUACAACGAGUUUCAAUAUCUAACUUUGCUCGAACUGAGAUUCUUAAAGAGAAGACGUCAGUUCUCGAACUUGUUGUUUUUCAUUUUUUGCAUUAUUUUACCUUUAAAAUAUAAUUUGGAAAUCCUCUUGGAUUGCUCAACUGCCAACAGUAGUUUUGAGUACAUAAAUGAGUUCACUAGCAUAUAGGAGUAUUCACAAGUAGAAAAUCGUACCCGAAGGAACAGCUCGAAAUCAACAUCUUCAUCCAAGUUCUGGUACGAAUCUUGAAGAAAUGCAGAUCGUUCCUCUUCGGUAAGACUCUCUCCAACGUGUUUCAGUUUACACAUUCUCGCCGGCAAGUCAGCCACCUUCAAAACUCCUCCAUUUUCUCUUCUGAUCGUCGAGAACUGCAAAAAAGAAAAAAAAAUCAGAACACGGAGAAUCGUAAUCCGCAUCAUAUCAACUGAAACUCAACUCUCAAACACCAAUAAUUUGUAGAACAAGUUUUAGACACUCACAUGAGUUUUCAAGCUCCGAAGCUCCACCUGAGUGAACUGAUUCUGCAGCCAUGGAUCCGACACCAACACGCCUACAUAACCAGCCAUUCUCUUGCGAUUCAAACAGUGGAUCUUUGUACUUUUCUUUUGUCCAACGGAAGUGAAUUGAUACUUUUGGUUUGUGUACUCUCUCUUUCUCUCACUAAAGAGGGAGUUAGUGAGGAAACAGAGGAAGAGGAGAAGGAAGAAGGCCUCUAACAAACAAUGGGGACGGAGUAGAGCUGGCAGUGAAAUGAAAGCAAGGUGGGGUGGGGGGAGGAGGAGAAAGUGGGCUGGAGAGUAAGUUUCCGGAUAGAAUUCAAAAUAUGACCAUACUGUCCCUGUAGUUAACCGUUUUUAUUAGAGUCAGACUCAGCUCAUUACCCCGCUUUUUUGAACUCUCUCUCUCUCUCUCUCUCUCUCCCCCUCAGUUCUCAAUUUGUUUGAUUAAUAAAUGAGCAUUACACUCUGUGCUAUUUACGUAACAGGAUCGGGGCUCCACUCGGGCUCGGGCGAGCUGCUAAAAAGGUGAAAAGUUGGUUAAUGCUGCCACUAAAUUACUACUUCCUCCCCGUUUCACUUUGAUAAUUCUAUUUUUUUUUUAUCUGUUCCAAAUUAUAGAUCAUUUUUUAAUUAAAAAUUUUAGUUAUUUUUUAACUUCUCUAAAAUAUUUUUGUUCAAUAUAAGUUGUUAUUCGUAUAAAUUAACUUAUUUAAUAUAGAUUAUUUUUUUUAUCAAAUAACAUAUCCCAUUUAAUAUUUUUAAAUUUUUCAAAACAUAUUGAUAAAUGAAUGAGGAUUGCUUCUUUCUUAACCAUCAAUUUAAGUUCCCAUAAACCAUCAAUUCAAGUUUUCAUAAAUAAUUACUAUAAAGUUGUACUCUAUUAAAUGUAAGGGUAUUUUAGAAAAAUAGCAAUCUAAAUUUAUUUUUUCAACAAAAUUAACUAUAUUUUUUACCUGUGUGAAAAAAAAAAUCAGAACUAUCAAAAUAGAAUAGAAGGAGUACUUGGUUUACUACACUAACAAGAGAAUUGUAAUGGUAAGUGGCAACCGCAACUUUCUCCCUUCUUUUUUCUAAAAUAAUUGCGGUCACAUGGAUGAGGAUGGGGAGUAUUAACGCUUCACGGUAGUUGUACUCUUAGCUGGGCGGUGAAAUUUGGAAAUCUGCUCCUCCUUACUUACUUUUGGGAUUAUGAGGAGGAUGGGGUAAUUAAUUAGUCCAGUACUAAUUUGUCCCGAUGUGGUGGAAAAAGUGGUAGGUUUGAUACUGAACUUUAUGAUUUCAUAUAGUAGCACUCUUAAACAAUCUUAUUAGUGUGACUUUAAGAUUUGCUCCAUUUUUAAAUGGAUAUUAAUCGAGAUUCUAGUAACAAUGCGGCAAGGUAGCUCGUGAUGACUCACAUGACACGGCAAGUUUGGACUCUAUUUUAUAUUUUUCUCAGAAAAAUUUUUUGCUGAAUAUAUUUGCAAAUGUGGUGCAUUUCUUAGUGAACCUAGGCUCCGUUUGGAUUAGCUGUUUUUGGGGUUGUUUUUUAAAAACAGCACUGUAGCAUUUCGUUUUUGAAAUACAACUCCGUUUGGAUUAGUUGUUUUUGGAGUUGUUUUUCAAAAACUAUAUGAAAAACUUUUACUGUAGAUGUUUUUUGGAUUAUUUUUAGAGGUAUUUUUAAAACAUAUUUUUGGAUAUUUUUAUAAUUUAUAAUACAUUUAUAAAUAUUUAUAAAUAAAUAUAUUUAUAUAUUUGCUAAAAAAUAUAUAAAUGUAUUAUAAAUGUAUUAUAUUAUAUAUAAUACAUAAUAUACAUAUAUUUAUAAAUAUAUAAGUGUAUAUUAUUAUAAAUGUAUAAAUUAUAAAUGAAUAUUAUAUAAAUGUAUAAAUUACAAUUUAUAAUUUAUAAUUUUUAUAUUUUUAUAUAAAUAUACAUUUAUGCAUUUAUAAUACAUUUAUAAAUAAAUAUAUUUAUAUAAAAUAUAUAAAUGUAUUAUAAAUUUAUUAUAUUAUAUAUAAUACAUAAUAUAAAUGUAUUUAUAAAUGUAUAAGUGUAUAUUAUUGUAAAUGUAUAAAUUAUAAAUGAAUAUUAUAUAAAUGUAUAAAUUAUAAAUUAUAAAUUAUAAUUUUUAUAUUUUUAUAUAAAUAUACGUUUAUGCAUUUAUAAUACAUUUAUAAAUAUUUAUAAAUAAAUAUAUUUAUGUAUUUAUAUAAAAUAUAUAAAUGUAUUAUAUUAUAUAUAAUACAUAAUAUAAAUAUAUUUAUAAACGUAUAAGUCUAUAUUAUUAUAAAUGUAUAAAUUACAAAUGAAUAUUAUAUAAAUGUAUAAAUUAUAAUUUUUUAUAUUUUUAUAUAAAUAUACAUUUAUGCAUUUAUAAUACAUUUAUAAAUAUUUAUAAAUAAAUAUAUUUAUGUAUUUAUAUAAAAUAUAUAAAUGUAUUAUAUUAUAUAUAAUACAUAAUAUAAAUAUAUUUAUAAACGUAUAAGUCUAUAUUAUUAUAAAUGUAUAAAUUACAAAUGAAUAUUAUAUAAAUGUAUAAAUUAUAAUUUUAUUAAUAUAUAUUAGUAUUAAGUAUAAAUGUAUUAAUAUAAUUAAUAUAAAUGUACAAAAUGUAUUAAUAUUAUGUAUAAAUAUAAAAUUAAUAUUAUGUAUAUUAAUAGAAAUGUAUAAAUGUAUUAUAAAAGCAUUAUAUUAUAUAUAAUACAUAAUAUAAAUGUAUAUUAUAAAUAAAUAUACAUUAAUAUAUAUUAUGUAUAAAUGAACAUUUAUAUAAAUGUAUAAUAUAUAUAAUAUAUAAUAUAUGUUAUAUUAUAUAUAAUUUAUAUAAUAUAUAAUAUUCAUAUAACUAUAUAAAAAUAUUUAUAAUAUGUAUAAAUAAAUAAAUAAAUAUUUAAAAUAUAUAAUAUACAUUAAUAUUAAUUGUAAAUAUUAUAAUAUUAUAAAUAUGGUGUUUAUAUAAUAUUUCAAUUUGUAAUAUUUAUUGUAUAUUUCAUUAUAUAAAUAUUCAUAUAAUAUAUAAUAUUUAAAUUUAUAAUUUAUAAUUUUCAAUUUGUAUAAUAUACAUAAUAUUGUAUAUAUAUAAUAUAAUAUACAUAAUAUAAUAUGUUAUAUAUAAUAUACAUUAUUACAUUAUUACAUAUUAUGUCUAUUAUAUAUUAUACGUAACACUAUUAUACAUUAUUAUACACAAUAAUGUACAUAAUAAUAUUAUACAUUAAUAAUGUAUAUAUUAUAAUAUAAUGUACAUAAUAUAAUAUGUAUAAAUAUUUACACAUUUAUGUAUACAAUAUUACAUAUUAUGUAUAUUAUAUUAUAUUAUGUAUAAUAUUAAUUUAUAUAAAUAUUUAUAUAAUAUAUAAUAUAUAUAAUUUUCAAUUUGUAUAUUUCAAUUUAUAUUAAUAUAAUAUAAUAUAUAUUUAUAUAUAUAAUAUACAUAAUUGAAAUGUACAAAUUGAAAUAUACAUAUGUAGUUGUUUUUGAUAUAAUAUUUGGAUAUGGUGUUUUUGGAGUUGUUUUAGAAAUACACAUUUACUGUAGCAUUUGGAAUGUGAAAAACAGUUUUUCAAAAACAACCCCAAAAACAAGGGAUCCAAACACACCCCUAAUAUUUCAAACUCCUCUAUUUUUAUCAACAGCAGAAAUACAAAACAAAAUUGAAAAAAAAAAGGGGGGGGGGCCUAAUAGUAACUCCAAAUCUCUUGCAGCUUUCCCUUCUCCAACAAGGAAAUAUUACGCAGGUAUACUGAGCCUUGCAGUUGAUCACUGGUGCGAAAAUCAAGAGCUGCCACGGAGUGGUCAUGAUGGCAGAUGAGGGAUAGCUUGGUCAUUUGUUUGAGGGAAGGUUCGGGUCCACGCAGAAAAAGACGAUUUGCUUUGGUAGGCUUUAGAAAAAGCUUGAAUUGAUUAGAGAACGGCUCUUUUUGGUCUGGACGUUAAGAGUACAAAUUCAAAUAGAGCUUCACAGAACAUGGACUUGCUCGAGGCUUAACUAAACCAGACUACUCCCUUCCGUUUAUAACUGUAAUGCUCCACAACCCAGACACGACGUGACCUUCCGCUUGGAUGUUUUGCUGCAUUAGGAUAUUCAUGGCUGUCCGCGUUGGACCCAUAAUUGGCCGAGUAUCAUUUCCAUUAGCAUUACUUUAACUAUUCCUAAAUUAGUUGAUUGAAUAAAAAACAUAUGACGACGAAUUAUUAGUCUAGAUGCGUUUGAAAGCGUGCGACAUCAAAUUACGGUCGUGACCGUCUACCUAAAUGGACACAUUUCUAUCCCAUGUCUCGAUUAUUGAUUUUGAAAAUUCGAUGCUCUCUAACAAAAUACUACAAAUAUGACAAAAAUGACGGAAGAUCUAGUUAGUAAUAUAAAGGGCAAGGAAGAUGUUGCGUUACUAAUACUUGUGUCAUUUUAACACCUAGGAGAGACAAGUGUCGAGGGAAUGUUGUACACGAGAACUUGUUUUUUUGGAUUGCAGUUUUUUGUAAAAAAAUUUUACAGUUUUGCAAAAAAAUUACUGAUAAAUUAAUUAAGGAGGAGAGGGGUUUAAAUUUUGAUUUGGAUGCAUUAACAUGAUUGCUCUUUGGACAUGCCAAGUGAUUUUAGUUAAAGUAUUUCAGCUCUGUCAUACCAAAGAAAGUUAUUUAGUUCUUAGUGGUGGAGUAUAUAUUUCAAUUAGGGAAAAUUAUCCAAAUGGCCCUUUAACUCUUUGUCUAGGUAAAAUUAAGCCCCUCAUCUAUUUUUUGACGACUUUAAACCCUUGAACUUGUAAAAGUGGGAAAUCGUGGCCCUUUUACCCAGUUUCUCCGGUUUUGCAACCGGAGGACCAAUUCACACGAAUGCAAGUGUGCUUCUUCAAAGGGCAUUUUUGUCCGCAUGUUCUAAACAAAAAGGGCACAACUCCUGUAAAUUCCAGCUAUCAGACAACUCCUGUUUCAUGGACGCCGACCGACUUUUGCCCAAAUGCUUACAGACAACGGGGAGCCCAGCCUGUAAAUUCCCCUGCUUCUGAGUGCUCUUCACUACAUUACUCCCUCCCGCGACUUCACACGCCACCUUGACAGUGAUAAUUGCCAGAGCUAAAAAUUUAGACCCGCCAGAUGGGCUGUUGGAAAGAACAAUUUUUUUAACAAAAGAAUCCCGCAUCUCCUUUAAACCACAGGUGUAAAACCGGCUCACAUAAUUUACAUGGCUGUCGUCGUCCGAUGACUGGAGGACGUAUUCACGGCCGACGUUGAAGACGUCAAAUCCUACCACAUAGGGGAAUGUAGAGAGAGGCGGGAGGUCGAUUUUGGCUCGGGUAAGCGGAUUGACGAGGAAAAUAGGAGGGUAUUCGUCAAGCAUCACAAGCCAGCCGUGAGAGGAACCGGAGUGGCGGCGACGGUGGGAGGCUUCGGGGAGGUAGAGAACGUGGCAUUUGCUGUCGGCGAGAUUGAAGAAGGCCCUGCGGCGGCUGGAGGAGCGGCUCUGGGGAAGCAUUAGCCAGGGGAGUUGACAAGGGAGGUGGGUUGGGGUUGUGGGAGUGGAGGUUCGCCAGGUAGUGCACACUGCCCGAAAUCAGAUGUAAUCAGCGUAAAUUUUGAGAUCGAUUGAGAUUUUCUGGAUUAAUUCCGGCGGGAGAGAAGACGAGUUGACGGAAGACAUGUUUGGCUUCUCUUUUUGUUUUCUCUUUUCUUCGUUUCUCAAGACGAAAGGAUAUUUGAGGAUGAUUUCAGAGAGUCGACUGUGGUCAAUAGAAGUUCAGAAAUGCUGGGGAGCAUUAUCACCGUUCAACUUCCUUCAACUUGACAGUGAAGAGUUUACUAGUCUGUUGUCUGAUAGCUGGAAUUUACAAGAGUUGUGCCUUUUUGUUUAGAACAUGCGGACAAAAAUGCCCUUUGAAGAAGUACACUUGUAUUCGUGUGAAUUGGUUCUCCGGUUGCAAAACCGGAGAAACUGGGUAAAAGGGCCACGAUUUUCCACUUUUAAAAAUUCAAGGGUUUAAAGUCGUCAAAAAAUAGAUGAGGGGCUUAAUUUUACCUAGACAAAGAGUUAAAGGGCCAUUUGGAUAAUUUGCCCUUUCAAUUAUCGCUAUGAAUCUCAGUUGGGGUAUAUGGUAUAUAAUGUAAUUAUACGAAAAUCAGGACCUCACGUGGGCAAUCUCGAAUUUCCCUGGCAGCGUGCCAAAGACUUGUAGAGUGGAGCGUGUCAAAUCCCAAGUCCACGGCAUUUGCCCCUUCCGCUUGCUAUAAUAAGCGCAUCCCAAUUGCGUUGCUUUACAGAAAAAGGCAACGGUGGGUUUAAGUACUACUACUACUACAAAUUAUUAGGGGCAUUUCUUGCUUUUUUAUUAUGCAACUUCUUUUUUUAAAUAUAUUCCUCCAACCCAUAUUAGUAUGGACUAUGGAGGACGGAGGAUUGUUAUCAUUUUGACCAAAAAAAAAAUGGAGGACGGAGGACGAUCUUCUACAAGCGUUUUUUUUUUUUUUUAGUGGUACAAGGACAACUAUUAUUGAGUUAUGAGAUCACAGUAACCAUUAAAGGACAGGUAGGUCCAAUCAACACAUGGGUUUCCCGUCUUGGUGAUUUUUUGAUCUUGAGUGCCAUUAUCAUCAUUACUACUGAUUGGACAUAGGAAAGAAGUAUGGAAUGGUUCGACUCAUGUUCGGAACUCAUCCAACAGUUUUUUUUUUUUUUUUUUUUUUUUUUUUUUUAGCAAUAAUACAUUUGUAUAGCCUAUUCUAUCCUAAUCUAGGGGAGGGGGAGCCUAAGGAGGCUGUAGUAGGGAGCUAAUGGGCUAAUGAAUAUCCUAAAUUUUUUUCGCUGCAGGUGAGAUUUGAGCCCAAGAAGGGACUUAAACCCCCUUUGGUGGCCACUGAGCCAUUGGCCCAGAGUUCACUGUACUAUAAAUAUAAUUCUACUUAUUUUUUGUGUCAAAUAGUUAAAUAUAUGGUACACACAAAUAUUCAAUCGAACAAUAUCAACACUCCUUAAAUUUCAGCUUAUGCAAAAGAAGAAAAGGAAGGGAGUGCCUGAAGCUUUGUUAAAGAGUGCUAAUAUUUUUUCCAUAUUUGGGUAUGAAUGGAGUCCAAUAGUAAUACGUCGUUAGUUUAAGUUUUAACUACACUUGAAUUAAGUUUUAAGUACAAAUCAUAGUUCUAACCCCCCCCCCCCCCUCCUCCAAAAAAAAAAAAAACCCUGAAACAUAACGUGCACAAUAUAACUACAUUCAUGAAAUAAUUAGGAACAUUACCACCACUUAUAGGAAAUUAAAUAAGUGGUAAAUUUCAAAUAGUCUUCUAAAAUAAAUUAACAUUAUGUAGCAAUAAAUAAAAAGGACGAGUGUUUGAUUUGAGAUAAUUGAGAGAAUAUGUACAGUUUAAUAAAGAAUCAAAAUAAGAAAAAAGGACACCGACAACACCUCGCAUGCUGCAUUUAUAGUUAUUUAGUCAUUCACUUGUAAAAUGAUACAAAUUCGAACCUUACAUAUAUGAAUGAUACCAUUUUAGUCCCAAAAUCUAUUUCAUUAAACUUUUUCACUUCAAUUCAUCAUGUGACCACGAUUUAAUUAUGAUUUCAAUCGCACAAAAGAUAUUAUGUACUCAUGAUUUAUCAUUACCAUUUUUUUAAUUUUUUUUCUUUUAUUUUCUUUUCCAUGGCAAUCUCAAGUUUACAAGAUCAAUGUGCUUCAUUUUUUUUUGUUAGGCUUCUUUAUUGUUAUUAAUUAAGAUAGAUGAUUUUGAGUUCAAAUAUGUUUGAAACAAUUUGGGAAAUUCUUUGUUGGAUUGUUUUGUACGGAAUAAAGAUUUGUAUGCUAAUUAAUUCUUUCUUAUUUUUCUUAAAAAGAUACGCGUUGGUUAAUUAUUCAAUCAUUUAAUUAAUUAAUUCUAAUAAUGCUUAAAUAAACAGAUUAGAGUAUAGCGUAUUGGUGUAGGAUUGGGCACAUGAUGUCUUUUUUGCCCCUGCAAUUUUUUGGUCAUGUGAUAGUCGCGUGACAAUUUCAAGCCAAAAAAGUUGCCUUAAAUGGAUUUUAGGAACAAAAUGGUGCAAUUUGCUUAGGGUAAUAUUAUUUACACUCCCCUUAAAUUAUUUGCACUCUCAUUGUCUCAUUUUCAUCUUAAUGAAACCGUACUGCCCUGUCCUCAUUUCUUUUGUUGUUAUGCUUUUGUUGAAGUAUAUUAGAAAACUUUACUCCCUUUAUAGUGGCUAUAUGAGCUAUUUUCAGUAGACUUUUUUGAAGCAUUGAUGUCCUAAUUAUGAGACAUUGUAAUUGUACUCAAUUUUUUAUCAUCUUUGAAGUUUGAGAUUUAUUUAUUUAUUUAUUUAUUGUCUUGAAGUUUAAAAUUUGUUCACAUUGCAUUGCUAGAUUGAUCUUUGACAUCAUAUAAUUUCAUCAAGUUUUGUAAAAAAAAAUCCAUAAUACAUAUUGGUGACAAUUUUAAAUUAGCCAUUUUAAUGUGUAAUGGAAUAAUUAAUUAGUUUUAGAAUGUUAGAGAAAAUCUGGUAAAGUUAGUUCAUGGGCAAGGAGAAGAAAAUUAGUGCAAGGGUAAUACAAUCUCAUUAAGAUAAAAUGGAACAGUGAGAGUGCAAAUAACGUAAAUGGAGUACAAAUAACAUGUUAUCCUUUGCUUAUAUGAGGAACUAAUUUGCAUCAUUUCAAAUGUAAGGACCAUUUCUGUCAUUUUCCCUAAAGACAAAACACUCGAUGAUGUCUCUAAGCAUAUGGAAUCUCCAUUUCCAGAAGCCUUUAUCCUUAGUCUCAUGACGAGAAUUAGUAAGUUGAAACUUUUAAUUAAACCAUAAACCAGUCAAAUCCUAGUAGAAAGUUCGUCACAUUUAUGCCACACCAAAAGGUUGAUGACAGGCAGUCAAACCAGAAAAACACUGUGGAACGAGAAAGGAUCGUAGGUAAUGAUCAUAAGAUCCUUUACCUUCUUUUUCCUAUAGAAAAAAAAAGAAAGAAAAAAAGAACCGAGCAAGAUGCAAAAUGCUUAUCCAUAUUCAUCUUUCUUUGAAUAGCGAUUCUGCAGUUCUAGAGCCUAAGGUAAAUCCAAUCACCAAUAGCAAGAAAAAAUGAAUGCUUAUUAAGUUACAAGGUGUGGGAAAUAAAACAUAUCCUAGCGCACACAUAGAUGGCAAGACUCCCAGGAUUACGGAUCUGUAGCAGCUGAAGGUCAAAGGGCAAAACAUCCAGGUAAAUCUAUGCAGAAUAAAAGGGAGGAAGAUAUUUUUACACCCAAAAAGGGGCACUGCAAUGUACUUAGUUGAUAUGUCCAUAUGUACAAAGAUUGUGAUGCCUUUUGUUCUAUAUCCCAUAAAAGCAUCGACAUGUCUACAACACUACAGCCUAAGUCAUUAUUCAAAAAUUUAUGUACGGCACCUUGGUGCAUCUUUGUUUGCUGUAAUGAAAAUCAGAAUGCAAUUUCUUGAAGAAUUUGUAGCGUAUUCUCGUGAACCUGAAUAACAGACCUUAGAAGUCAGCACUAGCCCAUAAAAAAAUUGCACACUGCAGAAGUAAAUAAGCUUUGACAAAGUGCACCAGAAAUCAGAAGAACCUACUAAUAAAUUGGUUGGUGAAUCGCACCACUGUAAAGCAUGGUAGCAUAGCAUAAAAACCUAUUAGCUUAUAAGGUACAAGAACAUUUAUCCAACACUAUUUAACUAACAUCCCGAAGGACAAAAAAAAGGUCCUAUUAGGUUUUCCCAAGGAACAAAUGCAAGUUGUCAAUUUAACCAACUUAGAAAGCACUCAGAAACAGAAAUCUACUCACCCAUUCUAACUGCUGUGCUGUAAUGCCAGAGACAUUCCCUGCAUAUAUGCCACUUAAUACCUACAAGUUCCAACAAAGAUAAGAAUCAGUGAAAAUAGAGAUUCAAUGAUUCUCUUUGGCAGAAAGCCCUUAUUCAACAAGUGCUAUGAGUUUCCAUGAACUUGAUUACAUUUGAUUCUGAAAUAGCUUCAAUAUUUGACAUGCCAUUAUGACUCUUUCUUUCUAACUUUUCCGGCCUUAUUAGAAAACGUCAGUCUAUAUGCAUCCCAUAUUUGACAAAAUCUCCUAUCAAAACUUUUAUCUGAAAAAGCCACAAUCAUCCAUGUAACAACUGGAUACCUUGGAAACUGUCUCAAGAAACAUUCCAGGGCGAACAGGUAACGGUUUCACACCAGUAACGCUAGCCUGAAUAACAAGAUUAGAGGGUUAUAAAUAGAUUCAUCCUAACUAGACAUAGUUUUUCAAGACUUGUUUCAAUAAUUAGAUAUUUGAUUAAAUCAUACUUUUCCAGCAAUCCCACUUGAGAUCCUUCCCUCACUGCCAAUCUCCUCAUUCCCAGGGGAAUCAUCAGCACCUUCAUCCUUUCCUUGCAUAACAUUUUUUAUCAUCUCACGAACAGUUUUCCCCGGUCUCAGAGCUACAAGCUUGGUUAAAAAGUUGACCUGCAUUAUCACAAUAUCACACCAAAUAAUUCUUAUACCAAAAUAACUGUGAUGUAUAACAUUGUUCAAGGGAUUACACUACCAAUUGAUAAGGCAAUGACUCUGUAAUGUAUGAAAACUGGAAUAUCACGAAUCAAUUCAGAGGAAAAAAAGGACCUCUGACUGAGGGAGAGUUGUAAAACCACGAUCAUUUCUUUCAUCUAGUAUCCCACCUCCCAUCAUAUUCCUGGCUUCUUCUCGUAUCAAAACAAGCCUUGCAAGUAACUUGCGGUCAGGAACAACAGGACGGGUUUCCAUUGUCUGCAAAAUGCAGAUCAGAAAAUGAGUUUUAACCAGUUAAUCAGCAAAGAAGCAUUGACCAGUAUUGUCUGCAAAAUGUAUAAUGGAGUUUGCAAUUUAGAUUAGGUAAUGACGAAUAUGAUAAUCUAAAUCACUGGUUGGAACUUAGGCCAGGGGGGCAAAAAAAAAAAGCAAUUCAGAAUCAAUAACUGAAAACCAGAUGAAAUGUGGAAAGAUUUCCCCCUCUUGAGUUACUCAGCUGAUCUCAAAUGCCAGAACAGAUGUUUUCUGCCCCUAUGAUAAAUGAAUCUUCCCAAGAAUGAAUCAGUCCCAAUCUCAUCAAGAAGAAGGUUUAAUACUUUGCCACCUUUUCUUUCACACAAAAUAAAAAAAUUCAUAGGGUUUUAUGCAAGCAUAAUAAAAUAAUAGAAAAACCAUCUUUUAUGACAAAUGCUUCCUUCAGUUUUGAGAAGAGCACAACCUCUAGAAUGUCAUCAGCCUGGUAAGCUAUUUCAUUCAGGUUUGCUGCAGGAAGGUGGAUUUUUGUGCCACUAUUGUUUUCAAAUACACCGCCGCCUGCAGCUACUCGCCUGAGAAGUUCAUGUCUGCUUUCUUUUCCAGGAGUUCGGCAGAGCAAUCCAACUACUUGGACCUGCACCAUGAAAAUAAUUCACUGCCAAGAUGAACUUUUAGCCUGAUAACCAAAAUAGCUAGUUAAAACUACUAAUCCAAGUAAUAUCCUCACCUGAGGGGGACAUUUCUUGGUAAGAUGGGAUAGUACAGUUUCCUUGAUCACCUCCAACAGUGACUUGCGCUGAAAAGAAACAUGUAAUAAUGGUCAAAAUAUACUAUUUCGAGUGAAUCAAUCAUUUGAAUAGAACCUGGCAACGACGAGCUUAAUACAUAGGAUACUGCAAAUGGCAGCCGAUAUGUCAAAACUAUUGUGCUGUAGGUAGGUUUAACAGAAGGAUUAAAUAAAUCUCUAAAGCUUCAGCACAACUAAGAAUGCCUGCAACUAUAGCUAGUUGUUCUUGCUAUUUUUCAAAUAGUUUUAACAAUAGCAAAACCAUUGUUCUAGAAAGGCAUAUACAACGGCUAACAGAUAAUACUCACUCAACAAGAUGACAAUAGCCCAAAAGAAAGGAACACUAAUGGAGAUAUUAAAUCAUUACUUUUUCAUCCUGGUCCUUUUCGGCAAUCUGGAUCAUGUAAUCAAGGGCCAUCAUAAACCCUGACUCCAUUUCAUCCACUCUCUUCCCAAUAACUCCUUGGGCAGCCAAUUGUACAGCCACCUCCUCAGAUGCUUCAUCCAUAUUCAUGUCUUCUAACUAUUGCGACAUGCAUGAAUCAGAAAAAUACGACAACUUUAAUUUCCCGAUAUGAGAUUGAGAAUACAGUAGGAGCUUAUCAAUAGGAUAGAUGCAGUAAUUCAAAACUUCGUUCCAGCUGAUAGAAACUAUUCUCUCAGUCUAACAUCUUGAAUACACAUGCAGAAGAAUUGGAACAAGAAGAAACUCAAGCAAGUGUAUAGUCUGGAUCAAAAUCUUAGUUAUAACAACGUACAGAAACAACAAGUCUACACCGCAGAGUAGGAUUUAACUAUUUCUACAAAGACACAUGCAGUCAUUAUCGACUAACACGCAAGAUAAGACUAGCAUACUCUACGACCAACAUGAAACCUGGAAGCAGACUACAAGUAAACACAAUUAAAAUCCAAAGAGAGUGAAAUCAAAGCAUAUUUGAUGUGCUAAUCGCCACAAUAAAAAAAAAUAGUAGAAUUGGCGACUUUUCUGGAAACAGAAUGUGGUUCGUGGUCUUCUUUUUACCUAUAGUUAUCAUUUUCCUCUUAUUUAACAAACAUCUGAAUCUUCACUCGAAAUCCCCCCUUUUUCAUUGUAUCAUUUGUGAGGAAAUAUCAAUCACAUUACCCACAUCUUUGAAAAUAUAACACGUUUAUGCAGGUAACAUAGGAAAAGAUUGAAACAUUUCAAUUUGAUAGACUUUUUUUUCCAGGAUUGCACCUCUCUCCAUCCUGCAGUGGUACGAAUUUCAGCAUAUUCAUUUCGAUAACAUAUUUUGCAGCAAUAAAUCCUGUUGGGCUCCUUAGAAUGCAGCAAGGUUUAGGUUAAGUAUUUACAGCUUUCAUUCUACUAAAUAUUUAACUUCUAAUUUCUACUUUUUUUAACUCCCAAAACAAAUGAAGGUUUGAGAUCAUACAAUUGUUUUUCCUGAUAAGGAAUAUCAAAAUAGCAAUUAAUAAUUAGUGAAGUAAGAUGAAUCAAGAUUUUCACCAAAAUAAGAGGCAGUUGAACAGGAAAGUGCACAACCCAAAAAGAAAAGAAAUUUGUUAUUAGGAUAAGGCCCAGUCAAUUAGGACUUGAGACUUGGGAGAAAGAAUAAUGAGCAAAACUUACGAGCUUGGCCAUCUCUUCUAGGACAGAGGUAACCUGGUCACCACCUUUGAGUAGAGAUUCAUAUUGGGAUGGGUCCCAGUUUUGGUUUUCUUGCCUUGAACCACUACUGCUGCUACUUUCUUGAUCCACUGGAAAACCUCCACUGGCUUCAAAAGUGGAGCAUGGAGCCAAGAACUUUCGUCUCUUUAGCUGCCACUUGGGUUUCGUGGGAAAAGAAUUACGCCAUUUUUGUGUCCUGAGAAAUUUUGAUGGAAUUAAAUAAGUCGUCCCAGAAGCUGCGACGGAGGUAACGGAGAAAGAGGCCAUGGAGGAGGAAACUGACUUCGUGGGUUUACCAAAUGCCGGCUUGGAGCCCAAAAACCCAUCACCCCAUCGCUAUAAACCCCGGAUUUUCUUUCUUCUGCCAACGAAAAGAAAACAAGUGGCCUCCCGACGCCGUCUGUGGGAAUCGAACCCACGACCACAUGGUUAAAAGCCAUGCGCUCUACCGGCUGAGCUAAGACGGCCCCGCACAGUGGCUAAUGCUGAUUAGGAAGACUAACCACGAAUUUACCGGGUCCAGUCACGUCCAUAAUACUUACUUUGAUCUUUUCUUUUCUUACCCAAAAAAAAAAAAAUUGCUUUGACUUUUGAAAUUGCCGUAUUACUAUGUGAGUUUCAAUUUCCAAACGAUUUGCAAUAGUAGCGAACAAUCAAAUACAAUCAUUGGUUGAGGUAAUUGGUAAAAGACAAUCAAUGUGUUAUUGUAUCAAAAAAUUAUUUGCUUGUAUCACAAACAUAUUUUUUUAAUACAUUUUUUUAUUUUUUUAAUUAAUUUUUUAUUUCAAAUAUAUUAUAUCACACAUAAAUUAUAAUAAUUAUUUUAUAUAAUAUUUAAAAUAAUAUGAUAUUCAAACACACCCAUUAAUACAGUUGACAUUCGGCACUCUAAACUGGACGAUUGCCAAUAUUCCAAUGUAGGACUGCCUGUGACCAAGUAAUUCCUCUAUUGCUACUGUUUCUAUGUAUUAAUCGACGAUUUGAAUGCAAGGUUGAAGUUCUAUGAGUUAAGUGGUGAUUAAUACUAAUAAUAAUGUACUUAACGUAGUAAUACUUAGUCCAUUGGGCCUUAAAGGGCCCGCAUUUCUCUCUUCACACAUCCAACAAAGGAAAUUUAUUUAUUGACGGGCCAUGUUCUGGCUGGUUAAUUCCUACUUUGAUUCCCCUUGUAUUGCAAGUACUGCAACACUAUUUCCACACGAUGGGCUCCAACUACAUAACACCCUCCCAAUGUCGAGAUAUGCCCAAGAAACAAAGCGGCGAACAGCCCAAAAGAAAUUAGGGCCGCAGUUUUAGCACCGUUUUCCUCAUUUUCCAUUUUCUGGGUUAAUAUAUUUCCAUUUUAAUUUUGUUAAUGGCAGUAAUUAAAAAAAAUGGAAAAAAACUUUCGCUUUUUAUUAAACUUCAAAAAAAGUAGUAGCUAAUAAGGACACUACUCAUGUCAUUUGAAAUUUGAGAAUCGAGAAUGCCAUUUCGUUUCUAAGAAUCCAUGUAGACCCAUAGAUUGAGAGGUUCCGGAAUACAUAUAUUAAGACCAAUUUUUUUGUGGGGGGGGGGGGGGGGCGUAAUCUAUACUUCAAUUAAGACCAACAUUUAAAAGUUAUUUCAAGAACACACUUCUAAUUUAGAAAUGAAUAAUAUAUAUAUGUGCUAAUUUCAAACAGUAUACAGUAGUGAUUUAAAUUCUCAACCUUGUGAAAACGUUUAGGAACCAUCCAUGAAGCCAUAGACUUGAUUCGAAUCGAUGACCUUUCCUCCCAAAAAAAAAAAAAAAAAAAAGAGGAUGGCAUUUCUAGCGGCUAUUCUAAUUGAACGUUGGAUAUUUCAUCAUUUUCUUCCAAAUAUGGAUUGGCUAUUUCAUUAGGAUUUUUCUUUACUUGGCGUAGUGCCAAUUGGACAUACGUUAGUAAAGAUAAAAUCCAUCACUAACGGUAUCAUUGAAUUAUUUGAAAAGAAAUCUGACUCGUUUUUUCCUUUAUCCUGGCGUCGAGAAAUAUUUUCCUAAAAUCCAACUGAGUACAUAUGUAAAAUGGUAUGACGAUUAAUUUUAUCGUUACAUUUAAUGGAUGUCCAUUGAGUUUUUGUUAAGAGGAAUAUCAAGUUCUAUAUUUCUUUAUAAAAAAUGUAGUUAAUUUAAAAAAGUGUCACAAUUCAUAGGUGGUGUAUCUAUAUGGUAUGAUAAUUUAAGUGUAAUUUAGAUAUCUUAACAAUUAUCUAUUGCGCAUCAACUAGAAAUAUUCUAACUUCUAUGGUGGUAAAAGGAUAUUUUCCCCCUUUAUUCUCAUGCUAGUAGUGGUAGUAGUACUACUACUGCGUACAUCCCUCUAGCCUAAACCUCAAGUCACGCACCCCAUCACGUUAGAACUUAGAAGAAGCAGGGGGGCUACGACGUGUUGUUAGUCGUUCCAGUCUUCCAAUGAACCUUACCACUGGGAAACGGACAAAUUCCUUAAUGCAUGCUGGUUUUCAACUUUUCUCUUUUCUAUUUUUCUUUUUUAUUUCCCUUUCACUGACACGCCAACAGAACUUAUGACAAGGAAAUCAUCUGAGAUAUGGCUGUUUCUGCCCAGUGAAAGAUGGCAUCCCCCGUAAAACCCACGAAACCAAAGGCUAGUCGGGUCUUCCCAAUUUUACAGGACGAGCCUUCCAUUUCCCGAUGCCCCCCAACUGCUGAAUGCAUGGCAUUACCAAAAUAAAAAACAAACUCAAUGGCAAACAGUCAACUUGUUCUCCAAGAAUACUUUACUUCCGAUAUUUACCUCCCCCAACCCAACCCGAUAAAAAUACCAAAGCACUACCGUUUCCGCUUCUGCGCUUCCUAUAAAUGACCCCACAUCUGCAGACCUAGCGUUCCUCCAUUUAUCCAUUUUUUCAGUCGCUUUUCUCACUCGCGCUCUCUCUCUCCCUCUCUCUCUCUCUCUUUCUAAGUCUCACCUUCGCUCUCUGUUCCGCAUUUUCUCUCACUUAGGGUUUUAUAGUUUUCUGCUCUCUUUUCCUCUUCUUCAUUUGCGAUGGCGCAGGAGGCUCACAACGCAGGCGCUGCACCCAACGGAGCGGCUGUGAAGGAGGUGGUUUUCAAGGUGGCGAAGCCGUGGCUGUUCGUGGAGGCACCAAAGGCGAACGACGCCGUACAGUUUUACAAGGUGGCAUUUGGAGCCGAAGAGGUUAACCGUACCGUGCAUCCUAAGAGGAAGGCCGAGCAGGAGCUUCCUCUCCUUCUUUCUGCUGAACUCAAGCUUGGUUCCUUUUCCUUCCUCGUCUCUGACCUCAUUGCUGAUGACUCCCGUGCUCCGUACGUUUUCCGUCCUUUUUUAAAUUUUUGCUAGCGCUGAAAUGAUCUCCGUACGAUUUUUUGCUUGCUGUUUGGAUGGAUCUGUAUUAUCAAAACGAUAUUUAUGAACGAGGCCUGUUUUACGUUGUUUUGUUGUUUGUUUAAUUUAUCUUGGUCUUUUGGUUCUUCUGCUGAGGUCGUUAUUAUUCUGUUGUUGGUUGUCUUGUAUCAGGAUAUUCUAAAACGAUAAAAAGGAUGUAUGAUCAUUUUUUAACAGCUAAAAUUUCAUUUUAUAUGUUUUUUUCCUAGUUUUGGUAGUUUUAUGAUGUGUCUGUCCUUUGCUCAUAAUAUUUCGGCGAACGUUAGUUGUCAUUACCAUUUUCCCCCCUCUGAAAUAUAGUUGUAUUAUGUUUUUUUACUUAUUUUUGUAUUAAUUACGUGGGUAAAUGGAGUCGACUGACAUGGUUUUCGCGUUAAUCUUUUAAUUUGUGAGCUUAACUCUUUUACAUCGCCUCUCCAAUUUUUUUUGUGGUUGGACGGUGUUUUCCCGUAUGUUUUUUACUUUUUGGCUUUCCGUGCGAUCUUUUCAUUGCUUUAGGGUUCUUUUUUUUUGCAUUUUUUAUUUCACUUCAUUCACCAUAACACUACUGUUUUUAAUUCCGUCCAGAGUGAAAACAGUUGGAGGCGGAGUGGCUUUCUGCCUGGAGACUGAGGAGGUUGAAGCUGCGGUGGAGAAGGCUGUGGGUGCCGGAGCCAUCUCGGAGGAUGUGAGUGAGGCUGAUUGUUGCGGUGCUGAUGGGCGCGUGGUGAAGCUCAAGGAUCCCUACGGAAAUGUUUGGCUGGUUUGCUCGCCUGCGAGUGCCUCUGCUGACGUGGAGGCUUAAAAGGCGUUGGAUCUAAACCAUCAUGUCUCUCAUCUCUAACUUUUACUAGUACUCAAUCCAGACGUAUUAUCGUUUUGUCUCAGACAGUCAACUCCGGUAGCAUUGCAGAUAUUAAGCUAGUAUUAUUAAAUACCAGAAACUGCAGUAGCUGGUUAGAUGCUUAGAACAUCAUUAUGGUAUUUUGGGUUCGAAACAAUGUUGAUGAUCCAUUGCAACUUUAAUUCCCUCUCUCGGCUGAAACGGCUUAGUAGUUAAGGUCUUGCAUUAUGUGCUUUGUGAUUUGCUUUUGUGGUUAGUUGCAUGUUUCUAAAGCUACCUCAACUAAUGGCUUGAAUGAGGGUUUUAUGGUGAAAGGAUAAGGGGUAGUGCUGACUUUUCGACAACCCCAUAUCCGGUGGUGAGAGACACGUCCUUGGAGAGUGUAAUGGGUUAUGCGGGUUCUAGGUGGUGGUGGUUUAUAGUUGUUACUUUGUAAGACUAUAGUAUCUUACUUUGAUAUAUGAUUAUUAAGGAUUAGUAUUAUAUUGUUUAAAUUACUGGUUGGAGACUUCGACGAAUGAAAAAGGCCUUGGGCGUUGUUAAGGUUGGAUGGGGUAAAAAGGGGGGCCCGAAGUGUGGAGAAGUGGGGUCUGGGGGUUUGAAAAUUAGGGCCGUGGGCACCAGUAGUUGUACGAACGGCAGGCAUUGCCAUGCAUUAGAGCGUUGAAAACGCAAAACUAUAAUUACGUUCAGGCGAGCAGCUCUGCGUAUCGGUAUGGGACGAGCUUGGCCGUUAAAUUAACAGAGAGAUGUGGUCCCAGUAACCUUUCGUGGAUUUCUCGUGAGUUAAUGUUGGGAGGGUGGAACCGAUUCUCUUUAGGCGAAUUGGUUAUAUUAGAUAAAGUGCAGGUUUGAUCACAGAUUAGAAAUUAAUCUCUACGCUUGCAAUAAAAUUUGAAAGGUGUGUAGUAUUAUUGUAUCUUUUGAUUUGGGAGGUAGGAACUUUUCCUCCUAGUUUCCCUUGGUCUGCUCAAGCCCUCAUCUGAUAUAUGUUAAAGAGUGGGAGUCAGAAUUGAUGGCUGACAAAACAUAAAUGUUGGUGGUGCUAACAAUUCCGGUUUCAGCUAUAGCUUGUUUAUUUGGCUUGAAGCACGAGCUUACCCCCUACUGGCUUGGCACGCGAUUAUGCUGUAUUCCUAUUGUUUCUCUUUUCUCGUAUUAGAAGAAUACUCGGUUGAUUCUCGCUAAAAGAGUAUUAAUUAGGUUCAUUAAAAGUAAACUAAUUGGUUAGUGUCAGGAUUGGCCGAUUAAUCUUUAGGGAAGGGGCACAAAAAUGAGGAAUGCUGCAAAAUGACCACUGUUGAUGCAGGGAUUGCCUUGGCAAAACCAACAGUCAAAUUCAGGGACAUUCAUUCGAUUGUCGGAACAAUAAACGUACUGUUCCCUCCGUCCCACUUUGAUAGUCUUGUUUUCCUUUUUCGUCUGUCCCAAAUUGUAGUCCACUUUCCCGUUAAGAAAUGUAGUAAUCUUUCAAAUUGUCUAAAAUACCCUUAUUAAAUAUCUUGUUAUUAAUACAUUGUUAUUAAAUACUAACCCACUACAUUGAAUACAUUGAGCUUUUUCAAUACUAACCCAUUAGCUGUAACUGAUAUUAAUUGACACUCUUCGUGAUUAGCAUAAGGGUAUUUUAGGAAAUUAUUAAUCUAAAUUUAUGUUUCCAACCAAAUUAAUUAUACUUUUUUAAUUUGUGUAAAAAAAAAAUCAAGACUAACAAAAUGGGACGGAGGGAGUAUUAGAUUAGUUUUAUAUUUUUAAGGUACACGCUUCCAAGUAAAUCUGAAUAUAUCUUACGCAGCAAACCUUUCAGCGUUUUGCUUAGACACCCGAAAAAAAAAAAAGAGAAAAAAGAAAAAGCUUUUAGCCUUUCUGCUCUCUCCUAUAACGACUCACCGUUCCUGUAGUACUCUAGUGUAAUUUUGCUUUUAAAAUGUUAAUUCUAAGAAGAGUUAUAGUUAUUGAUUUAUUCACGUCAUUUUUAUUUUUGGGGUUCCAGAUUUAUUUAUGUAUAUUGUUAAAGCUUUUAGCUUUUAUUCAUCAGAGUCCUUGAUUACCCUUUUCCUGUACUGUAUUUGUUACUAUUUUGUGAACUAUCCAUCAUACACCAACGGACAAGGAAAUGAAGAGAACAAAAAACUUUUAAUAUCAAAGUAGAAACCUACAAUCCUGUUUGGUUAACAAAAAGUUUACGUGACAAUCUCAUCGAACUAAAGUCGUUUUAGCUUCUCAGCUAGCAACGCUGGUUGGGUAUUGAAAUCGACAUAAAACUUGGAAAAGAACAUGUCAGCAUUGAUAUUGGUAAAGUACCCGAAGCAUAGAAAGUGAAAUUCCACAGGCCCAAUGUUCCUAACUUGCGCAUAAUGGCUAGAUUUGUGCAUGUAAUCAGAUUUUGUGAAUUGAAUAAAAACUGAACUUCCAAGUUUCCCGAAUUAUGCAUCGGACUAUGAAUUUUUCCAAUAGCCAAUUGUAUGUAUUCUUUUCCCUUUUAAUCAACAUUUGACAUUCAUCUAAUGCCGCCGUUAUUAAUUUCUACAGUAUUUUCCUUUUUUGCUUGGACCCUGUGGUUAGCUUUUUGGGCCUGUUGAAAGAGCAUGGAUUGUUGUGCAUAUGGCAGGGUCCUAGGAUACUAAGUCAGGGCUGUUGAACUUGGGCCACUCCUCGGUGAAAAACAAUCGAUUGUUGGACACAACCGUAAUUGAUCCAUUGCCAUUUAUCUCCCACCAUCAUGGACUCCCCCCAAAUCUCAGGAGCCAUAGAAUCAUAUAGACCUUACUACUUCAUACAUGCGACGACGGCCACGGUCACAAAGAUCUGGCCAAUAAAGAAAAAGAGUGUGUGGCUGUCUAUAGAGAGUAGAAACACCUUGGCUUGGAGUCGAGCACAGAAAUUAAGGCCGUAUAGAACUGAAAGUAUCUUCAGGACAAUACUUUAGCAUCUCGUAAUGUGAAGUCUCAUUUAUUCUACUCCGUAGACAGAAUAACUAUUACGUAAACAGGUUUAACCGACUCUAAUCUUGUAUGUUUACCCUGUAAGCUUUAUCCAAAGAGGCAUUCAUUUCAUGCAUUUGCCCACUUGGGAUCCUCGGUGACAUGUUUUCUAUGCCAACCCAAUGCCACCUAUAAUAUUGUGCCAAGUGUCCUGUUAUUAUUUACACUUUAAUUUUCUAAUAAUUCAACUUGGUUUGGUUUUUAUUUACACUUGUGUUAAACCAAACCAAGUUGAAUUAUUAGAAAAUUAAAGUGUAAAUAAUAACAGGACACUAUGCACAGUAGUAUUAUAGGUGGCAUUGGAUUGACAUAGAAAAACAUGUCACGAGGAUCCCAAGUGGCAUUUGCCCUGCAGCAUAUUUCAUGUUUCAGAAUAAGCGUGGUCAAAGACUUAAAAGAGAGGAAUUAAUUCUUACACCACACAACAAACACCACAGUAGGGAUCUUCAGACUUCCAUGCUGAUUCAGGUUGCUAUUACAAACCAUAUACAUACAACGACGAUGCUAAUUAAAACAGUACUACUCCAUGAAACUGCAGUCCCAGCUCUCAACCAAUUAACUAUAUGUGAUCCAUAUAAUGAAUGCCAUAGCCAGCAUGUAUACUCCUCGGACGUACCUGGAAGAAUGCAAAACAAAAGUUGAUCAAUAGUCUAAAAACUUAUUAUUCUUUUUAUAUACUACUCAGUAAAUUUAAGCCAUGCUUGAUGAGUGGAAUAUCUUAGAGAUCCACGGCUUGUUAGUGGAGGGGGAAUAUUAAUUGAUGACCUUUUAACAAUCUGGAGGAAGGGCGAGGUUGCAUUUGGAUGGGAGUGCCAAGGCAAGGUCAGGAUCAAUCCCAAGAGAGGGCAACGUGAAGGAGUUCUUAUAAGAACACAAGCAUUUCAAGUCCGCCCCUUUGAGGGCAUCGCAACAAUCGGAGGUGGGAUCGACCGGGUCGGGCGGUGGUGGUGUCACUGAUGGCUUGCAUGCCAUUAGUCCCUUCUCGUCCAUGUUGCACAAGCUCAUAGCCCUUGACCAUUCAGGGCAUCCUAGUCCCACCAGCACCACCAGCAUUACUGCUACUGCCGCUGUUUUGCUUCCAAUUCCACUUCCCAUCUCCGCCAUUAUUUCAGUGUUGGUUGCUCAAUUGCGAUCUUGAGUGGCUUAUGGCUAACUAACUCACAUGCAUGUCUUGAAGAUUUAUAUAUAGUGUUAGAGUCCUUCCGUGAAAAUAAUAAUAAUAAAAAUAAUAAUAAGUGUGAGCCCGUGACUUAGAAUUUGGCACGAACGGCUUUAAAGUUGAUUCAAUCAUACGAGUCACGGGUGGUGAAAUGCAGAGGGGUCAUCUAAUGUUUGUGGCUUUGGUAAUUGGGUACGUUUCCUGAACCAAUCUUCUUUAUUGAAUUUUUGUGGUCAUAGAAUGGUCUGGAAUUUUACUAGAUGUCGGGAAUAGAUUGGAAGGUAUGAUUUUGAGUUUGUCUUUUUUGUGUGUUUGUUUGUUGUAGUCCGGAUGUACUCUAAUCCGGCUGUGGUUUGUUAGUUCUAAGUUUAUUGGCCUAGUUUGUUGAUACGUUGGCAAUUAGGACGGUCAAAUCAUCGUUUUAUGGAACAAAGCGAGGAUUUAGUUGUCUUCUCCAUAUUCAUUAUCAAUUCCACUAUGAACUCAUGGCCUGGCAUACAUAAUGCAAUGAAAUUAUGUCAUAGUUUAGGCUCCCAUCGAGUUUCAUAUGUUACAUAGUUUUCGUUCAAAUAGUUUGUUGAAGGUGUUGCAGUGUAGCGCAGAUACUAGGGAUGCAAAAGAUUCGGGUCACUCGAUUUGAACUCGCAAAUAACUCAAUCAAUAACUCAACUAUGACCAAACUCGAGUCAAAUUUGAGUUUACAAGUCGAACUCGAACUCCAAAUUCUAGUACUCAAAGGUUUAAAGGCUCAACAAGUCCAUUCGAGUAAUCACAUUUUUUUAAUUAAAUUAUUAAUAUUACAAAUUUACUAUUUUGUGUACAUUUUGUGAAAUUUACUAAAGGCUCUACAACUAUUUUGAGCUUUUGCCAGUCGAGACAUGCAUUUGAAAUCAUAUAGACAGAGAUUCUUACAUAUAACCCACAAACACAACUCUCACAUUGUCGGCAGUAGGAUUCGUACAUACGAUUGGAAGAUACUCGUUCUUAUCAACUAACUAGGGAGGGAUAGCCAGCGCGACGCACGGGAAUUUGGUGAUUGUGAUUCAAGAUAAUUAAUAAUUAUUGUUUAAUAUUUUGUAGUAUAGGAACUGAAGUAUGAUGAUUUUAUCAUGUGAUUUUAAUAGAAAAAUCACAUGAAUUACAUAGUGAGUCAAUAAAAAUAAUGUGCAAUAAGACAUUCUUAUCGUUAUACUAUAUAAGAAUCCGUUAUGACCAAAGGUUAUGUUUAAAUUUCAAUUGCAAAGAUAAUGGUAGUUUGAAAAUAUAAGAAUGUUUGAAGUGCAAUUAAAAAGUAUCCAAAGGUCUAUUCUAAAACUUAUCCAAGAUGAUAAAACAUUUUAAAAUAUCAAUUAGACCCUUCAUCUCUCGAAUCUAUAUAUGUUCGUGAAAGAUCCCUCAAGCAAUACUUCUGAUUUCUUUCUCGACUUAAGCUCAAUCUGAAUUAUCAAGUCAAGUUUAUUCAUCAAUCACUUUACGUCCAAUCUAAUAUAAAAUAAUUUUAUUUUUUACUAACUAUUUAUAUAAUUUGGUGGGUAUAACACGACUUAAUCACAUGUUUCUUACAGAGAUAAUAAUGUCCAAAAAUGAUAGAUAGGUAAGAAACUUAAAUGGGCUUUUUCAAAGUUUUGUAGAAACUAUUCAGAUUUGGUGUUUUUUGUUAGGGGCAUUUCUUUAUAAUCUCAUAAAUAAGUUCAAAUCUGCAUAAUUGUUAAAGAUCUGAAUUGAAACUAUCUUGAUUAUAAAAAAUUGGUGCAAAUAAUAUUUUCUAAAUUUAAAAUUGUAGAAAAUGGUAAGUAAAAUCAGAAGAAAUUCCUCGUAUGAAUUCAAAUUGCAAACUAUAGGUAGAAACUGCUUAAUGAUAUUUUUCAAUGUUUACUUGUAUAAGUAUCCAAUAUAACAUCUCUACUUAAUUGACUCGUUUGAACUAUGGAUAAUAGUUGUUUCAAUCAAAUCAAGAAACAUUAUUUAUCAUUGUACAACAUACAAUUAUGAGUAAAUGAAUUAAUACAAUGCAAUCAAAAUGGUGCUGUAGGUAAGGCAUUUAAACUCAUCAAGUUCCACUACAAAUUCUUUUACAUAGCAUAAAAAAACAAAUUUUUUAUAUUUGAAACUAUAUAAACAGUAUAAUACAAGAACGAGAUCAUAACAUGGAAAGCAAAUAGAGUGCAAAUGACAUCUCAGUACUAUGUGGCAUGAUUAAUUUUCUUUUUUAGUUUCAAUGAAAUACAAAAUUCUAAGUUAAUAAAUUUUACAAUCAUAAAAUUCUCAAUUAAAAUAAACACAAGCUGAAUUCCAAAUCAUAUUAUAUGAAAAAAAUAACUACUUGAACCAUAAUUGUUGGAAUAUAGUCAACAGAUCCCUGGAGUCAAGAAUAAUAGGAGAAUGUUCAUGAGAAAUAAGGGGAAUGUUUGGAUACAAAACUUAUCUCAAAUAAUUUUUCGCUUGCAUCAUAAACACAUUUUCCAAUCCACCUUUUUAUAUUCCCAACCACCUUUUUAUCUCACAUACAUCACAUCACAAAAAGUACUACAGUAAUUAUUCCAAAUAAUAUUUCAAAUAAUACCCUAUCCAAAAGGUUAUUUGACUUAAAUAAAGAGAUAAUAUCUUGGGUGAGGAGGAGAAGAUGAUAAAAUUGCUUUUCUGAUUAUUUUAGAAAGUGACAACAUUAUUUCAAAUUGUACUUUGACCAGAGACAGAAUCUCUGGGAUCUACUAAGAAAAACAAUACAAUUAGUCAGCUUUUGGAAUUAGAAGUAUCUAAAGGCAAACUAUAUGGAGUUCUGGAAUAAACCAAUCAUCAGAAAAAAAAAACUACAAUCGAAGAAAACAAAUUCAAAGAACUCACCUCAAUUUAAAGGAAAAGUUAUGCAUUCCACCAAAUAUUUAAUAGCUAUAAUAAAAUCAAAGAGGUGAAACCGAAAAAGAAGAAAGGGUAUCGGCUAAACAUAGGACAUAAAUAUGAUAAUGAUUGUUCAGAUAAUAAUUAAGUUAAUUAAUUGUAAUUAAAAUCCAAUUAUGUAAACAUCCAAUUAAUUCCUUAACGGAUGAGAAAGGUUUCAAGAAAUUGGAAGGCUUGGAUGUUAGUAAAAUAAAUGAUUAAAAGGACUUUUAUGUAAUUAUAUCAAAAUACAAGCUUUAUUCAGUUGUAUUUGAUACUCAAUUUGGCACCAAACAUUGUAACAUACCAAACUUGCCCCUAACCUUAAAUGUCUGAAAGGUUAUAUAAGUAAUUAUAGUGAAAUUAAAGCUAUAAUGACUUGUACUCAAUGUUCCAAUUACUCUUCAAACACUCUUACAUUCCCAAAAUAGCCUCACCCCCUGCAGUUGAAAUCUAGUCCUAAACUCGUUCUUAUAUAGUAUAAGGAUAAACAUCCAAUUAAUUCCUUAACGGAUGAGAAAAGUUUCAGGAAAUUGGAAGGCUUGGAUGUUAGUAUAAUAAAUGAUUAAAAGGACUUUUAUGUAAUUCUAUCAAAAUACAAGUUUUAUUCAGUUGUACUUGAUACUCAACUUGGCAUCAAACAUUGUAACAUACCAAACCUGCCCCUAACCUUAAAUGUCUGAAAGGUUAUAUAAGUAAUUAUAGUGAAAUUAAGGCUAUAAUGACUUGUACUCAAUGUUCCAAUUACUCUUCAAACACUCUCACAUUUUCAAAAUAGCCUCACCCCUUGCGGUUGAAAUCUAGUCCUAAACUCGUUCUUAUAUAGUAUAAGGAAUCAAUUUGUGUUACCAACUGAACCAACAAAUUUUUGCCACCUAAGCCGAAAAUUGGCAUCUCUUUUGUUGUUCAGCAGCACAGAAAAAAAAAAAAGAAGAAAAAAAAGAGUUAAUCUCAACCCCCCAUGAGCGAAAGAAAAACCUUUGCCGUUGCAAGCGUUGACGACCCAAAUCCAGACAAUUAGAAUAAUGGGAAGGCUUUCAGGCUUCGGACGACGAUCGGUAUUGGGCCAAUGGGCUUGUGUCCGACUAACCAGACCGAUAGAAUCUGUAAACAGGACGACGCAUCCAAUUUGACCAUGCGUUAUUAUGUGCGGAGCACAAUGAAAGAACCAAAGGGCAAACUCGGCUGGGACUCCCUCCACAAUGGAUGAAAUUGAAUGGUCGUUUUCCUUUGUCGAGAAGCCGAUGUUGAGGUGGGCAGGCAACCCUGGCUAUUAAUUAGUUGGUCUCCCCGUUAGCUAAGCUUAGAAUCAAUAAUGCAAAAGUCAAACCCGGUUCUCAAUGCGACGCAGACGCUACAGUAGAACGAACUUCAGGUGCUGCAAUGUCAUCACUCAUCACACAGGGGCAGGAUCCGAUCAACCAAUCAAUAAUUCAUUUCUCGUGGAGAAUCACACGGAGAGUUAUUUGUGCUUCUUAUGGAUAGGUCCAUAUAAAGAUUCGGUUGUCCAAUGCAUGGAUUCUCCGGUGGAAGAGAUUCAAUAAAUCGGCGAGGAGGAGUCAAAAAUUAGACUGUAGUAACACGCCAAUGUUCAAAUUAUUAUUAUUUCUUGGGACGGAAGCGCAAUGAAGCUGGACUUUACUAGUACUCCAUUCGGUUUUCAAAUUCAGAACUUACUACUAGUAGCCUCGAGAUAAGAGAGAAUGAAUCUCUUGCCAAUUAAAUUGGUGGUUAAGAAGAUUAUCUCGAGUAGCUAGCUGCUAUGCAGAGGUACGAAGUUAUAUAUAUACUAGCGGAGAAUUGCAUGUUUGUACCGGAUGGAUACUCCACAGGCAACUCAAAUUCAUCCACUUAAAGGAAAAGAGUUUUGAAUGAGAAUCCACGAUGACUAAAUUACUAUAUCGAAUAUGAGUGCAAAGUACACGAAUUUUAAGCAAGAUUAUAUCAAGUGACAAUUUUUUGAUAAAAAAUAAGAAUUGAAUUCUUGAUCUCUUAUCCUUCCAUCCCACGCUAAAGGCGACGGUGAACUCCAUUAAAGGGUGUUGGUUAUCCCUGUAUUCAAAGUUUAAAAACCUGCAGCUGCAGCUGAUGCCUCUGUAGUUUUGUUGACCCAUCAACACUGCAAUGCAAAUACAUCUAUCUAUCUAUCUGGGACUACUACUACUGUUGAGCUUUAGCAUUAGACUAUUUGUGCCUCUCUCUCUGGAGCUUUGCAGGGGCACAGAGCACCAUGCAAUUUUAGCAAUGACGCAUGUGGGGCUAAAAAGCCAUUUUUCACUUUCAAUCCUCUCUCUCUCUCUCUCUGGUUGCUUUGAGAUGGGAGAAUCAUCAGAGAGAGAGAGAGAGAGAGAGAGAGAGAGGGAGAAGAAAGCUACUAGUACUACUUUUUAUCUGCAUACAUUGGAAUAUACACUUAGCCAGCGACAAACAAGCCAAAGUAUUAGAGCGACCCCUCGUCACAAAAAAGUUGAUAAAGAGUUGAGAGUAGUAAUAGAAAGACAAGGAAUUCAAACCCUGCCUCCUGCCUGCAUAUACCGCACAGCCUUCCCCGGCCCCCCAUACAGAGCAAAAAGUAAACCUAAUCAAUUCACUCCCCUUCUCUUCUUUCUUCCUCUUCUUUCAGUUCUUCUUCUUCCUGUCCGAGGAGUACCUACUACUCGUACUCCUGCAACUGCAAAUUUGCAAUGCCUCCUUUAACCAACAACAAUAAUAAUAAAUAAUACUCCAGUACUAAUCAGUAAUAAUAUCUGCCGGGGCCUUUCUUUUCUCUCUCUUUCCAGCUUUUUCCUGUAGAUUGCAACGUAAGUUACACCGCUUUGGAUCCCCAUCCCUCCCUUUACGCUCUCUCAUUUCUUCUCUCUCUUUUCCUCUUAUACAUUUUACUACCUUUUUGUUUUUUCAACUCCUUUGUUAGGUCACAAGCAAGAAACCGGUCAUUUACUCCUCUCAAGUCUCAUCCCCUGCCCUUUUUAUACCCACCACCGCUCCCCCCCAACCCUCCCUUCAUAUUCAACUUGCCACAAUUUCAAGCCCUUUUGAGUGCUUGGAAAACUCAAUUUUGCCUCUUUUCUUGCUGGCUAUUACCAACCACUAGUAGUCUUCUACCAAUGGAUGUAAGUAUUCAUCUUUCUUGACUCUUGACAAGUGGUAUAUAAGACCAAUUGGCGUUUUGCUUUGAUGAUAUGAUUACAUUGCUCUGUUUUGAGUUUUCAAUCAAUUUAAGUAAUGCGUUUAACUAUCAGGAGUACUACUUCAACGGGAGGAGGGGCCAUGUCCCGGCAUUUGGAAGCUGGGAUUGCAAUGACGAUCUUCCGUUCACCCAGUGCUUCGAGACAGCAAGGCAGACUGGGUUGUUUCGCUAUAGCUACUCUGAAGAUCGUGAUCUGUACGUUGCUGGUGAUUUGUACGAGAAUGAUGUUGUCGCUCCUGCCAUGAUUGUGGUUCCUCGUCGCAGGGUAAUGCUUACUUAUCCUUAGUUUCUUCCUCAACUCUAAUCCCCAUCCAAUUGUUUUCCGUCACGUUACUCCAACAAAGAGGCUAUCCAAUUUCUGUCCCUAAUAUAAAUAACCAACUGAAGCUGGAAACAACUUUUUGGUCAAGUGCAAUCCCAGACCCAGAUUUCUUUUGGGCAUGUGAAAACAUUUAUUAAUUUCUACUGCUAUCAGAAACCAUGGAUAUUAUGAUGCUACGUGGUGGAAGCACUACACCAUAUGGUAAUGGUAUUGACUAUUGCUUGGUUUGACAGAGCAAAUUGACAAUUGUCAGAUUGUAUCGUAUGGCGGCAGAAUAUGCAGGGGUGGGGUAGGUUCUCCAAUACCGGUAGUAGAUUUGAGAUUUGACCGAUGGGUGGCGGUUAUUUCUGUCCACCCACCCAUUUGCUAUGCUACAGCGGAUUAGCAUUUAGUAUUUGAAUGGAUUUUAUUUUAUUUUCACAAAUUGGCCAUUCGAUUUUCGCUGGAAACAGAUCCCUGCUCAGAAUGGUACGACUAAUAGUAACAAGCGGUACUGUAUCUGUAUGGAGUAGUAGUUUUUAAGAUGCCACGUACACAUCAUCAUCACUUUUUUUCAAGCAUGAAAAUGAAAAUGAUGGUGCAUGAUUGCAGGUAAAAUCAACAAGUUACCAGCGGCAGGGGAAAGAAGCAAAAGGUGGGGAAGCUUGGGUGGUGUGCGACUGUGAAUGUGGGGUCAACGUCAAAGAGCCACCAAGCCCACUGCCACCUUCUCCUCCCCCUCCUGCUCCUAAAGCCGUGGAUGAAGACCUCUACAAGAUUUCGCCGGAGCUCCUCCGAGCACAGCCCCGAAAGGUAAAAGUCCGAUAAGAGAUUAUUGUGUUGCUACUUCGCACGCAGUAGUCGUAUUAUUUAUUUAUUAUGUGGUUGAUAUUAGAGUAUUAGUGGUUUAACUUACUGUCUGUCUUUAUGCGUAUGCCCCCACUGCCUCUUAGACCUCGACCCGAAAGCAGCAGUGUUUCUGACAUGCUUGCCACGCCCUACUGGUUUAUUAAUUUAUCCCUUGGCUUUGUCAAAAGAAAAGAAUGGCCAAUGGAGGAGGGUUGACCUCGCUGGAAAUUGGACCAUCUUUUAUAACAGCCCAUGCAUUCGUAGAUGUUACUUUGGGCGUGUAAAGAAAAAUCAAAGAAAUUUGGAGAGCAUGGUUUUAAGUUGUGAGUUGUGGCCCCUUGAAGCAAGAUGAGGAAAAUGGAAAAGUGCUACUCUACUAGUUUAAAAGAAAAGAAAAACAAAAGAAGAAAAGGCUAGCUGGGGUGUUUUAACGUCGAUGAACUGCUUUGGAAUUUUAUUAAAGCGCGCGCGCGCGAUCCCUCUGUUUCCUUCUUCUUUCUUCAUCAUCAUAUGCAAAAAAAGGAGAAAGGGCUACACGACUAAACACAAAAAGUCCUUUAAUUUGCACCUUUUGAAUAUACUAAUUAAUUCUCUGGCCAAAAGUGAUUAUAAUGCUGCUUUGUCUGAGGGUCGAUUUCUAUGUGUUGCCUGCCUCCACUUCCAUUUGUGAUUAAAUUGAAAUCUGCUCUCUUUUAGGGAUAAUUUGCUAGUUGUUUGUUGUUUUGUGGUGCAGAAGAGGGGCUGGGGCUUCUUUUCAAUCUGCAUGCAACCACCCAGCUGCGUCCGUUGAAUUCGCUGCAGAAGAAGCUCAUCAUCAUCCUCGCUAGCGCGGCAUUGCGUACAUCUAUAAAUAUAUAUAGAGGGGGGAAAGGGGGAAGGAGUCUUCUUCUUAUUAUGAGUGCUCCUAUGGUCGGGGAUGGAUGGAAUCAAUCGUGGAAGGAAGGUUGUCAUUAUCAAACAUCAUACUAUGAUAAAUUAUUGAUAACCGUUCUUCUUACCAACGGUUUAUCCCUGCUGCUGGGCCUGCGAGCAUUGCUCCUUCCCUACCUUAUCUUUUUGGAACCACGCCCCUCUCUCUCUCUCUCUCUCUCUCUCUCUCUCGCUUUCUCUCUUUUGUUGUAGGAAGACCCCUACUCUGUUCUGUUCUGCCCUUCUCCGCCCUCUUUGCUUGUAGUUGUAUAUUGGUACUGUUUUCCAGAUCUUAAAAAGCUGGGAAGUUACUCUUCUAUUGGAAAUGGUGAUCGAUCAGAAAGCUUCCGUGGAAAGUGAAGACGUACUUACGUUUUAAUUAAUUAUAUGUUCUGAAGUCUUGGCUCUGAUUUACUUGUAUUACUCCUGAGUGGACAAGGAAAAAGGCAAAUAGUAAUGAUAAACAAACUUAAUGGAAAAUUGCUGUUAUCACAUUACGUACGCAUAACCAGCGUUUAUUAUUUGCUUAAAUAAAAAAAAAAAAGUAAUAAGUGGUGAUCUGAGAUUGGGGCUAGCAAGAUGACUUUGGACGCAUUCUUCUACCAAAAACAAUUUACUUCCUAGUACGUACUUUAGAAACUAUUAUUAGUAACUACGAAGCAAGAAUUCUGAUGGUAAAAUAUUUGUGCUGUUCCAAGAAGAUUUUGAUCUACACUACAGCCUACACCUACAGGCCAGCAGCAACAGCAAUGACGUGCUGCUUUUCAGAAUGGAAUUCAUCUUUGUCCCACAUGAAUCUGGAAACUAAACCCCCGUCUCUGCUGGUUUCAUAAAGUAGAUAACCUUCUUCCUUUGCGCUUUUCCCUUUUACUAAAGUUAGUAGAGCACUGGGAAUGCAGUGAGAGGAGGAAACUCGCGACGACCUCUGAUUAAUACUGCGCCUAAUAAAUAAUUACUAACCGGUAUGGUUGGGACACAAGGAGGACGCUCUCAGGACUCAGGAGAAGAUUGUCAAUGCAGACCGGAGAAAGGUGAUGGUGAAAAGGGCACAAGAGAAAAAAUAAAAUUUUUCUCGCCCCUGUUUGGAUUGUCAUUUUCUGCGUUAUUUUCUGUGAUCACAUUUUCCUAUUAUCUUUUUCCCUCACAUACAUCAAAUCGCUACAGUAAUUUUUUCAUGAAAAAUCAUAGAAAAUGCAAUCCAAACGGGGAGCUCAAGGGAGAGUUGGUUAGAUUGGAUUAUAAGAUGGGAGAUAUGAAUUGUAAGUAGAAUGCCUUAAAUUUAAAAGUUUUCUUGCUUAUCAAAAAUAAAGACAGGGUGGCAAGUCCCGUAAUUGGUGUUUGAUCAAUCAAAUUACUAUAAUAUUUUUUGUAAUAUAAUUUGUGUAAAAUUUAAAAAAUUUUGUUGUAAGGAUAAAAGUUUAUUAAGAAUUAUGGCCGUGAUGAAAGUAAAAUAAUAUUUAAAAAAAUAUUCAAAAACAAUUUUAGACAUGUAAUUCUUGGUUAUUCAGAUUUGAGGGGCCAGGCCAUCGUGUUUAGGGACGGUGGGAUUGGAGCCCAACUUUGGUGGUCGAGUAGAAUGGAUAUAUAAGCUAUGUUUUUCAAAAUCGGACCAAAUAUAGACUCGGUCGAGUUCAGGGGUCAAUGGGUUCAACCGAAUUCGAUAGGGAUUAAACCGGAUGAUAUUAUAAAUAAAAUUUAUUUAAAAAUUAAAAUAUUAUAUGUAAAAUACUUAAUAACAUGUUAAUAUUAAUAAAUGUAUAUUCAUAUAUAUUUGAUGUUUCAAAUAUAUUUAAUAAAAAAAUAUAAAUAAAUUAGAGCAAUCAAGUAUCAAUUUAUAUUAUUUAAUAAGCAUUAACAAGUUUAGAAUUAAAAUUAUGGAUUUAAUUGAAAAAUAACACCAAACUUUAAGACAACAUUUAUAAAGUAUGAAAUAUUUGAGGUAUGUUAAUAAUUUUUAACAACUUACGGAUCAAAACAUCAUAUUAAAAAUAUUAUGACCUUUCAAAAAAAGUAAAAAAAAAAAAGAAAAAGAAAAAAGAGACCGAGUUCAUUUUUCCGGUCAAAUCAGGUCAAAACCCGGGUUUUGACUGAAUUUUUGAUUUUUCGGUUUUUAGAAUUAACUCGAACUGACAAACUGACCGGUUUCAGGCUCGACAACGAUCGAACCGACUGGUCCGAUCCGAGUUUAAAAACAGAGUAUAUACGUAGCUACAUUAUUGCUACUUAAAACCAAUUACAAGAUGAAGCCUCAAAUGAAAGAAGCUACUAAUAAGCAUGUUUGGGUUGUAAAAUUAAUAAUAAAACAUAUCUAUAUUACCAUGUCACGCGCACGUGUCCAUCAUUCAACCAUUAUUUCUUUUACCGAGCAACAGAAUUAUGGAAAAUAGUUAAUGGUCAUUGAAUCUUUUUAGAUUCCGAGGCUUAAUUGGCAUCGGCUUCAGAAUUUCCGCUGAGAAUGUCUACCAAGCAUAGUUAGUAAAGUAUGGGACGCAUAUAAUACGAGAUAUUAUACUUGUGCAUAUUAUAUACAUUUUUUUUUCAAUAGUACGACGAAAAGUACUGCAUAAAAACACGUGUUCAGCAAAAUUACGUAUACAAAUUCAUACGUGAACAACACGAAUAUAUUUGAAAGUUACGGAACUAAAAAAACUAACGAAUAUACUGUAGAUUUCGAAGACUAUGCUACAUUUAUACUAAUUUCAAACUCUUUUUUUAUGAAUAAGACAUUAAAUUUAUUAAACAUUUAUCACCUUAUUAUUUUAGAUAUGUAUGCAUCUAUCAUUUUUAUGACAUAUAUUGCUCUUUUUUUUUUUUUAUAUAACUCAAAAGUUAUGUCAUUAUCCUUAUUCAAUUUUUAAAAGAUUUUGAAAAUUUGAAGUAUAAUUCGUGAAGUACAAUACUUUCAAAGUUUACUAUAUGUUUUGUACGGUUAAUUGAGAAGUAUGUUUGUUUUUCAGAGUAAUUUUGAAAUAUAUGGAAUAUAAAAGUUUUAUUAAAUGAUAUGUGUAACAUACAAAUACGAUACUAAUAUUUACUAACUAGGCCAGCAAGAGCAAAGUAUAAUACAGAUCUUAUAUGGACAACUUUUUUAUGCACAGGUAAAGAAUUUUUUUACAUAAGUACAUUUAGAUCACAUCACAUAAUUUAAAAUUCAAAUCAUACAUAUAUAAUAUACACAAGAUUAUUGGUGUAAAAAAUCACUAUACUGCAUAAAAAGUUAAUCCUGAUUAUAUUAUAUAUAUAUUAUUGUUUCAGCUGGUGAAAAAAAGCCAUAAUUUCUUUGCUUUGCAGUUAUAUUAUAUAUUGUUGUUUCUGCUAUUUAAUGUCAUUUGCCCUCAUAUAUGUCUUUUUUUUUUUUUUUGGCUUUUUUACUCUCUCUCUCUCUCUAUCUAUCUGGCUACCGAUAAUCAGUUACGGGUACACGUGUUAGGCCCAAAACAGUUGCAUGAAAAACCAUAUGUCAACGCCGAGUGAGUUCUAGGACUUCUACGAAUUUGCUAAGCUUCUUUGAAACCAUAUCCGGAGCACCUUAGAAACUGGAUCCCACUGCAGAUUCGUCUGCGUCGGCUGAUAUCUUUACUUAAAUCCGACUAUUGUUAGAAGUUGGUUAGGAUUCUCCCCCUUAAGGCAUAAUAAACACUAUCAUCAUGCGUCAACUUUUCCGCCACCCGUAUCAUUAGAUUGUUUGGACUGAUAACAAUGAACAUCACCUCCCUUAUCUCUCCUUUUUUUUUUUUUUUGAGAAAAAAAAAAUCUGGGACAAAUUAUCAGAUUGCCACGACCCCCCAAUUCCCCCCUCCUCUCAUACUUGUCUCUGUUAGUGCUUGUAUGUGUGUGUUUUGUUUUGGGUAUUUCGAACAUUUUCCAAUCUGCAGCGUGACCAGCAAUCUGGGUGCUUAGCAGUGAAGGGACGGAUCAGUUAUUGUCUUCUUCCUUUUUUUUUCUUUCCUUUGCACUUUAGAUGCAAAUGGGAGUGGCUGCAGAACUGCAAAUUGGAGAGGAUGAUCAUCAUCACACGUCCACCUCCACUAUUUGGUACUAUUACUAGUAUUACUACUGUUUACUUUAUGUCUUGUGCCUUUCUUUUUCUUCUUUCGAGUUUUACAACAAUGAAAAAGGAGCUCUGCUGUCCAAAAAUCAGACAUGGCGUCAAAAGAAUUCUCAAAUUUUCAUAUCAUCCGAUGAAUCAUGUGUGUGAAAAGCCUUUUUCUUGCGGGGUUGUUUUUCAUAUCACCCUCUUUUGCUUUUGGAUGGUUCCUCAUCGGUUCUUGAUUUGUUGCUUUCUUGGUGUCCCUGGUUUCUGCUGCUUUUACAGCGUACACAUGUUCUAUGGGUAAUUAUUUUGUUGGUUCUGGGGAAAUGGAAAAAAAAAAAAAUAAAACUCUUUUCGUUGUAUAUCUUUUACCAUUUAUCAGAUAGACAUCCGUUUCUAUAACCAACAAAUAACACACCCCAAAAACAAUCCCGGCGGCAAAAAAAGGCAACCCAAAAAAAAAACACUAAAAAGGUAAACAAAUAAGUGGGCGAAAUGAAAAUUAUUUCUGAAGUUAAAUGUCAUGGGGUGGAAUUGAAUCGACUGAACACUUGAUUUUGCAAUUGAUAUGCAUGGUGGAGUUUAACAAUAAAGUUCUGGUUGCUUUCUGUACCUAAUUCAUGUUGGUUCAACCAGAAUAGCGAGACAGUAUGAUGUGUAAAUUACAGGCUGAACAGGAGGAGAAGUGCCUCAUGCAAAGGAAUUACUCUGUCAAAUCACUGUGAUAAGAAGUCAGACAAAAAAGCAAGUGAUCAUGGCAAUGCAUCCAACAAGCAGAAGAAGCAGCUUUGCCUUUGUGCUCCAACUACCCAUGCUGGCUCGUUCAGGUGCCGUCUCCACAGAGCCGCUGACACUGCAAAUGCUGCUACUGCUCACAAGCCAUUGGUGUCAUCUUCAAUCAAGUGCAGCGGCAAGAAAAGCUUCGGUUCAAGAAACAUGGCACAGUCCCGGAUCGGAACCCUUGAUCUCCAAGCCACCCUUCCCCGUCUGUCCAGAUUUGGCAGGGCUGCUGCUGCUGCCAGCACCGGUGGUUGCCAUCCAAUUUCAGUAGCAUUGCGAAACAACGAACCGUUUUAUCAGCCUCGAGUCCUUAACAAACACUAGAAUUAUGCAAGUCCCGGUCUAACUAUUGCUGUGGCAGGAAGUUUUCGUUUCCUGGAGCUUGUAUAUAAGCAGCAGUACAUCUUUUGUUUGUACGUUCGGUUUUCCUUUGCGUCAGCGGAAAGUGUGAUUUUUUAGUACUUUCUGCAGACUGCCAUGGAUGGAUGGCACUGUGGCUAUUUUUUGAGUACUGAGCUGCAUGGUGCAUCUUGAUUUUCAUUUGUUUCAAGUGCUCUUUUGCGUCCCUAUUUUAUGAGUCGAUAAAAUUCUUUGUACAUUCCUUAGUUGUCAUCACAUCAUGAAUCUCUUCCUGGAGAGAUUAUGAAAUCAAUUAAAACGACAUUAUUCUUGUCAUGUCAGAUUACACUCCUUUUGAUAGUAACUGCCAUCUAUAUCCCCUAUUCGAUCAGGUCGUUGGGAACACAAGAAACUCUGCACACUUUGCAAAAAGUUGCACAACUGAAAAUGGUGGCGUAAAAUGAAAUGCAGUCAAAUUUUGAAAAAGUUGCACAAGUCAAAAUGGGGGCAGAAACGCAAAAGCACCGAGCUUAUCUUUGCCAUUGUCAUGUAUACAAUGAAGCCUGUACAGCUUGUUUCUAUGCCAAGAACAAAAAAGAACGCUGAUAGUAGACCAAAACCCAUCUUCUACUUCCCCAUGAAGCGAUGGACAAACUUGGACAAUCAAUUCUAUGUAUUGGCGAUGAUAACACAGAACCGUCUAUAGGCAAUUACAAACAACACUAUAAACUGGAAGUUAUGAUGCUUGCAGAGCCCUGACUCUUGCCGUCAGCUCUCUGACUUGGCUCCUCAAACGGUCAGGGUUACAGAAGAAAUCUACAAAUACACGCCUCUGGAGCGCCAGCUCUUGUGAAUGAUGUUUUACAAUCUGUACUUCCAGAAAAUUGGUGAUUAGAGUUUUUCCAUAUGUUACAAAGACAUCAAGAACUCCGAGGUUAGAAAACUGAAAAGGAACGAUAGCAAAUAGACUUGAACCGGUGAAAAUUUUCACACAUUUAGCAUCCAUCAAGAAAUCACCAUCGCUUCCAUACAAGGGAAGUUAAGACAGCAUGUGAUAUUUUCUCCAUGAUAUAACUAAACUAGAGAACUAAUCUAGAAGAAACAAUACCAAGAAACUUACAAUCGCAGCACUAGUCAAACCAUAAUUCUGAUGAUAACGGAGAAACUGGUGUCUACAAGCUGAAGACUUACCUCCUUCUUCUUGUUAUGCUCUAAUGAUACUUCUUCAACAGCAGCUGCAAGCUCUGCAUUUGCCUUUUCCAUUUCAUCAAGCUCCUUCAUUAAUGUCUACAGAGAGAUGGAAAGAUAGGUGCAGAUGGAUUCAGUUUUUAAGAUAAAUCAAAACCAUUUUUCAGGAGCCUCCAAACUGGAAACCGCACUAUCACAAAGCUAGGUGGUAAAAUUACAUGAAUAAAUGACAAACAAGGCGCAGCCUUGACACAUCUAAGAACCCACAAACAAGUAAAUAUGUUGAAACUGGGAAAAAAUUAAUUUUCUAAACCAGUAAAUUCCGAGCGUUGUACUUGUUUAGAUGUGAAUACAGGAAGAACAACUCAUUUUUAAAAGUUUCCUUGAAAUGCAGUAAACCUAAGGCAUCAAGUGCAUCAAAUGAAACCUAAAGCAGACAUGUCCUAUCAAGUGCACUUCUUUACCCGAGGUGUCAAUAUUGGUUGGGCAGUUGUAGAAGAUGCAAAUAAUAAUUGCUGCAAGCUUUGGACAAGAGUGCACCUGAUACAUUAAACAGGAAACCAAGAAAUCAGAUUUUUGUUAUGCUUACAGGUCCAUAAAACAACAGUAUCUUAUCCAAGAACUGUUGUCUAACAAACUGAUGGCAGCCAUAUUGCAUGCUCCCAAUUAAACAAAAUAGUCAGAGUCGACUGAUAAUAAAUCUGGAACUUGCAAGUAGUUUGAAAACUGAAUUUUUGAUCAGAAAAUCAUUCCUCAGGUAUAUGGAUUCCUACCUUAGAUAAAUCAGAGAAUGUUGAGGUGAAAGGAUAUUACUGUUAACAACUGUCUAACCAGACCAUAUAGAAAUGAAAUAUCCAGAUAUAGACUAUAUGGCAAUAACAGGUCAAUACUCAAUUAUCAUUAGUAUUUGCUACUGAAACAUGAAUUGAAAACACCACAUGCUUCUCCUAUUUCUCAAAGCCUUUCAUCCGCUACUCAUGACUGUAAUAACUAGUCUACAUUUUGUGCCGCCAAAAAUAAAAUCUUAAACACAUUGAUUAAAACCAUGGACAAGCCAAAUAGCUAAGCUAACAAACCACCUUUUUAAAGAAGCAGUUCUGCUGGAAAAGUGUGGACAACUAGAGAUGUUAGCAGGAUUAUGGCAAUAAAAUAAAGGUAAUAAGGACAACAUACAGCUCAUUGAUACACCUAUUUCGGUCAUCUGGGAGGGCAUGCUCCAACUCAGAUUGCAGGCUCAUCAGAUCUGAUUGAAGGCUCGAUAUUUGCUGAACAAUGCCUGGUGCCGAGACAUAUGUUGAUAAACCAGCUUGAGCAUCUAAAGAUAUUACAAAUCCUUCGCUGUUAGCAAUGACUCAAAGAUGAACAAACAUGAUAAUUUAAGUCCUGGGAUAUUACUUGAGUAGAUACUUAAAAGGUCUCUGACACCAUGCAAAAAAGUAUCUCGAUCAUCCACAGCUCCUUGUUCUUGUACCUCUGAUGAAGCUUGAAUUAAUGCCAUACAACGACCCUAGAGUGACAUAUCACAUACGUAAAUUCCAGUGUGCAAUGACAAUACUAUGCCAUCAUAAAAGGUGCAGAAAGAUAUUAAGUUUCAUAUUUCCUUGAGAUCAUGAGUUUGAGAAUGCCUUGCAAAGUAAGUGAUUCCAUACCACUCGUCCUUUGGCUGCAGAAAGGUAUCCCUGCAGUUCUGACUCAACAACUUUGAGUAAUGAAUAUGCACCAAGCAUGGUCUUCUUCUCCAGUUGACACGCUAUUUUUAGGAACUGAUGUCUUGCUAGCUGAUUGACUAAAUAAUUUAUGAACUACAGUGCAGAAAAGGACAAAUAAUAAGAUUUCAGGGAAUGAUAUUUAGAAAUUUAAGAAAAAAAAACUUCCAACACCCUGAGCUGAUUAAGGGAGACAAAUAUUAACUAUCAAGAAGCACCGUGAUUCCUACCCUAUGACUGAUUUUGGCAAAUAGAAAUUCCAUGCAUUGACAACAAUGCAAAUCAGAUAUGAUAAUGGCAUAUAUUAAUCACUUCUGCAUCUGCGGGUGACUCUGUAAGUUUGUUUAGCCUCCAAAUAUGGCAUCUUUAACUGAGUAUAUGACUGAAAUGUAUGCAACAUGCAUUUACAAAGGGAAAAUUAAAAAACUAGAUGCAAGAACACCUAAUCCAUUGUUGCUGCUAUUCAAAAUCUAGAAAAGCAAAAAAUCUAAGUGAUACGACUGUGGGCAUCAUAUCCCAAUAACAUACCGUUUUUUGUCGAUUUAUGUAGAAUUCUUGGCGCAUGACCUUUAAAUCAUAAUCACCUGCAUAUUGAAGUAGUGCAAUAACUAACGACUACAAUGAGAAAGGACACAUUCAUAUGAACAACCAAACUUCCCAAACUAGAAGCAAAAUAAAGAUGCUGAAUACCUUGCAAUAUAUAAGUGUCUUGAAGCUGAGCUAACUCCCAACAAAGAUCAGGUACAGUCUGGAAACAGUCUUCCAGUAAGAUAUACAUAAAAUCAAGCAAUGCAGAGGAGGCCAAAAACUAAAAGUUAAGUAAAAAGUACAAAAAACCAUAGAAUUAGGCAUUGUGCAAGAAUUUGCACAAACAUUUAGCCUCCUUCAAAGAGAAAAGAACAGUUGAUCAAUGAAAGGCAGUAAGCUGGUGUUACAGUGACAAAGUUAGAUUUUCAUUUGUCCAUGCCAUAAAGCGUUCUUCCAGAACUCAAUGGAAGAACUAUAAUGUUUGGAAGUCAUUCAAUUAUCUUCUAGCAAAAGGCUUCUAGAAUAACUAUUUCUAUCGGUUCAGUUUUACUGUAUCUUCAGUCCACUCUAAGGUUAGAACAUCCCAUUCUAACCAUGUAGCCAAAAUCAAGUAGAAUGAGUAGCCAACCAUCUAUUCUCCGUGUUUGCGAAGCAGUAACAAAAAAUUUAGAGAGGACACAGCUACCUUCAGAUUAAAUCCAUAAUAAACCAAAAGGUUUUGCCGCUUCAACUGGAAUUUAUUUUUAAUUUCACUCCCACAGAGUGAGGUAAUUAAAGUUGCAAAGGCCAAGGGCUAUGUAUGUGUCUCAUUUAAGAAGAAGAUAAUGUGCAAUUUUAUUUUGUGCCUUAGUUAUCAUUUAUAUGGCAAAAGUAGACUAUUGAAAAAAAAGCAUCCGUAGCCUCAGAUACAAACCUCAGAUGACAAUUUCUCCUCUUUCCGGUGCAGAGUUGAAAGUUCUCCUACCAAUUCAGCAUGCUUUCUCCUAUUUAGUGUAUAGCAAAUGUUCAAAGAGCCACCAUAGAAAUUUAAAAUUUGGUAAAGCAGAACAUAAUUCACACAGACAACACAAUGCAAAUAUAAACUACGUUACCUCAGGGAAUGAAGAUCAAGAUGAAUGUGAGCUUCGUCUGAUGUAACUUGCCCUUUAAGUGCCAUGAGAAUGGCUUGUUGUUUUGCAUACUCAACCUGAGCUUCUACCCAUUGCCUUUCACUUGUUCCAAAACUGCAUAAAUUUCAAUAGGAUGAGCUCAAUUACAAUCAAAAGUAAAAGUCCUACCACCUGAAAUCCCACGUUGUUUAAACUUAAUACCACAAAGCACCACCCAAACAAAAAAAUCCAAAGUCAAAUAGUUGAUAAACUACCAGCAAGUUCAACCAGCCCAUGGAGAGGAGGGGGGGGGGCACUAAAGUUUGGGCACACAAACCUUUUUUUUUUUUGGGACAAGCUCACUACUUUUUGCAAAUUUAUACAAUAGGUGAUAUCAGAUACAUGUAGAAAGUUAGUUACAAGAUUGGAGAAUAAGGUGCAAACUCAAGGGAUAGAGUGUUGCAUCUAAAAAUAGAAAAAAGAAAGAUCAAAGAGUACUGCUACGUUUAUGUAAAUUCUGGCCAUUGCUAAGUAGGGAGGGAAAAUUCCUUCCAGACCACCAUUUGUUAGACAGUUCAGUAACAAUAUUUUAUUUUUCUAUAGAAGAUACUAAAAUGCUGAAGAGAGGUCUUGGAAUUUGGGAUACAAAGACAAUAGCAACAACCUUAUUACCUUUUCAGAACCAAUCAACAUCCUUCAAGAGACACAAGAUGGAUAGAGAUAGUAAUAGCAGAAACUAAAAUCUUAGCUUUACAAUAUUUGAUUCCAAAACCGAGGUUCAUAGGCAGUGACAGAUGGGCAGAUAACUCAAAUGGGCUAAACAUUUUGUUAUAUUGCCCAUAUCAUAUUACAGUAGCCAUGGCAUGAAAUAAGAGAAGUAAACAGAGGAUAUAGCAGCAACCAAUAACUGAAAGUAGCAAUACGUCUAACUAAACAUGCAAGCAUUCUUAAAAAGGGACCAAAAAAUCAUACUCAUACAAGUAAAAGGACUUACAUGGAGCGCAAGCGUUGCAACUCAGAAACACGCUGAUGAUGUGAUUUUUCUAAAUCUGCAAUGCACAGUUAUUAAAAAAAAUGUAUCCCAACAAUUUUAAUGAAGCUUUUUGAAACAUGUCUCAUUCACAUAAGCACGAAAUUAGCCAAUUAAGUCAUUAUUGCAAAGAAAGGAUAUCAAUAUUUUGAGAGAGAGAGAGAGAGUGCAAUACCUCGUACUAAGACAUUUGAGAUUUCAUCCAAACUCACCCAUGAACAUUUAGACUUGCCUUCCUCCGCCACUAACCUGUAUGGACCCUGAGCAACGAAAACCAGAUGAGCCAAUAACCUUUCAUCGCCUAUGAAAGUCGAUAACAAGAUACAGUCAAGUUGUACUUUGCAAUUAAGCAUUAUCCUAAGAAUCCUUUAUUAACUUCACAUCCCUGUAUCAAAAUCGCCCCCUCUCCUCCAAAGAGAUGCAACGAGUUUGUUGCUGAAGAAACUGGAGACAAUAGAAACAACCACUUGCUCAUGUGUUAUUAAAAUGUAUAGUGCUGACAUUCACUCUUAGUGAUGCUGACAUGAUUUAUGUGCUGGUAAUACAAUUGUAGAAACAGAAGAAAUUCUAUAACAACCCACCCCCCCCCCCAAAAUAAAAAAACCAAAAUAAAAAUUAUGUGACAGGUGUAAAGAAAUUUUUUUCUAGGUUAUGUCCCAAAAGAAGGAAAUAACUGAUUCUUUGUAAUUGAAGAGUAUUUGAAAAACUUUUCCUGUACUAAUCUUUUCUGAUGUGAUGCAUGUGAGAUAAAAGGUAGUUGGAAAACAUGUUCUGAGAAUAAUAAGAAAUUUUUUUGUAAGUAACAAUAUCCAAAACAAACCCACACUACCAUUCAGAAACCAAUAUCAAGAUCUCUUCCAGAAAACAAAAAUUUUGGCAAACAAACGUCAAAGACACCAGAAAGCACCAGUAAUCACAUGCUCAAGCACAAUUACCACCUUCAAGGCUAGCCAUAUGUCAUAGCUGUACUAAUCCAGUCUAAAAGUAAUGUGCUAAACAGCCAAAUAAGGAGAUCCAGUAUGACAUCUCUGACCUCUAUUGCAGGUAAUUGUUGGAAAAGUCAUAGUCACGCAUUAAGGUAAUCAAAGGCUUUUAUGUAGAUUACUUUAUGUAGUGAAAUGAGAAGCAGUUGUCUACAGAAAAUAAUACCGUAUCCAGUUGCUUUGAAAACCACUGAUUUAGCUCCUUCAUACAAGAUGAAUCCACAAGCAAAUACUGAUGAAAGUCAGAGUAAGCUAAGUAGAUACCAUCCUCUGCAUGCAAAUAAGGUAAAACCUCAUAAAUGCUGGCAACUGCAUAUAAUUAGUGCUGCAUAAUCAAAUAAUUCUAAUAUAACUCCUGAAUUUAUGCCUACUUCAUAAGCUUAAGCAUGCCUACAUUUCAAUUUUGUGAGAUUUCUGAACCACAAGUACUUGUUUCAUUAUAAAAAGAGUAACUACGAAGUCAAAGGCAGUGGGAGAGAGACUAGUGACCACGCCUUCUUGAGGCAUUCAUGAAACCAGUCAGGAAAUGUAACAAAAAAAAGAUUAUUCUACCAUUGUACAACAAAUCUGUCCAAUCAAAUAAAAAACAAUAAUAGUUAAAGAGCUCAAGCAUAAUUCAUAUUUCAAGGGUAAUUCACAUAAAUGAAAGUGAUCCAUUUUGUAAUGGGCAAAAACUUGGGUGAACCCGGUCUACAGACCCACCAGUAGACUGAGUGACUUAGAAUUUGCCACAUCAUCAUUAGAUCUCCUCCUUCAAAGCACACACCCUGCACACAGUUACAUUCAGUCGUCCAUGGAAGUCGGCAAUGGACUUCCCACCCACCAUCCUCAAAAUUCAUCACAAUCUUUCUACCUAUUACCACCUUCCAAAACAAAUAUAUACCCUAGAUCAAAAACCAUGCCAAAAACAAAUAAAUUUGGAUUCUUUACACCAAUUUCAGUAGCUUCAUGGAUCUUAUGUUCUUCAAUUAAUUGAAACUCUUGAAAAUUUCCUCCUCUCUAUUUCUUGACCAUCUCUCCAGAAGCUCAGCAAUCCCUUUUCAGAAUCCCUUUUCUUCACAACUGGGCCUUCAACAAAAGAUGAGUAUUUUAGGUUUAUAAACACUUCUUUUUUCAAAAAUUUAAAAGUUUUCCUCCUUGAAUCUCCAGCGCACUGUUUAAUACUUCUCCAUCUUUUGUUUGUCGAAUCUUCCCGUUUUCUUACCGCUGUCCUCCUGUUCCUCCAUAUUCUUCUCCUAAGUCUUGCAAAAUCUAACCAGAUAUUACAAGCUGAAUAUAAGCAAAAAUUAAAAGGAAAAGAAAAAUAAAGAUUGUGUUUGCAGAUCCCUAAAAUGGGUGAGCUUGAGUGAACAAAGCUGGAAGAACCGCUAACUUGGAAAAUUGUUGCAACUGUAUUUUUCUUUAUGGUGGUGAGUGUUUCAAAAUGACCAAAAAAAGGAAAAAAAAAAGAAGAAAUAAGAGGAAGAAUGGAGAACAGAUGCCAGAGCGGAAGCCAGGAGUUCCUGAAUCUUGUGCAGUUGUGCUUUAGGAUUUCUGAAAUUUUUAAUUGUUAUGAGAAUGUGGCAGAUUUUCCACCACAUGGUCUAUGGGUGGGCCCAUAGACCAGGUUCACCCUAGUUUUUGCCUUUCUAAUGAAGGUGCAUACCCAAGUAGUCAGAAGUCAAGUGCAAGAAAAGGAUCUUCAUUUAAAGACACAUUUUGUGGUAACUAAAAAUUAGCGAUCCAAGUUUCUUUUAUAGCUUCAAGAAUGUCAAUGAAAUUCAUGAGAAACAAGUUUCUUGUGAAAAACAAAUAAAUGAAACCAAUCGUACCAUCUCCUGAAUGAUAAUGAGCCAAUUCUUGAGCUGUUGAGGCCAUCUUCCCGAGAACAGCAUUCAUCUAAAACGGAGUUGAGAUAAUUUCAAACUUAGGAAAAAUGUAUAGAAUCAAACAACAAAUUUUAUCAGAAAAGACAUGCAUAAAACUUGAAUGCAAUCAUGAAAAUUGCAUAUGCACGUUUAAAUGCCAGAAGAAAGUUCCAUGCUAGACUGCUAUCAUAAACUAGUUUAAGCAGGAUUGCAAAUCAAACAAAGUGGAAAAAACUAGAACUCGUAGCAAGUCAUGCAUGUGUGAAUAUUGCAGUUGCAAAAAGUCAUUAAAGAAAAUAUACUUUGUAAGCCACUAAAACAGCACUGUUCCACAGUGCAGCUGGCUGCUGACUUACUUCUCUGAGACUUUCAUAGUUAACUCUAAACUCCAAAUCCAGCUUAAACUCCAGCAAUAAUCAGAACCUCCAACAUAGACUGAAGAAACAGAAGGACAAAGACAGUACUACAGCCUAUUCUAAAGGUAAAUUUAUAUUUUGAAAUUUUGUUUAACACCAAAAUGUCAGCAAAUAUUAUUAGCAAGUAAAACCUAAUAUAAACAGGACUCCAAGAUGUUGGCGAAGUUAGCUUCAAGGUCCACAAUCACAACUCUAAAUCUCUACAAUCCUGUCGUACUCUCUUUUCCUAGUAUUGCCUUGAAACCACAUGAUGCAUCUUGUCCCCACUGGAUGCAUUGAUAACAUGUCAAAAACCAGCAAACAGGUAUCCACACCAAAGUUCCGGACCAGUAAAGACGUUAAAUAACAGUUCUCAAGAAGAUAUCACAUAACAACAUGAGCCUAUGGUGAACUAACAGGCAACCAUACAAUUUUGCUCACCUCUAAAUUCCUAGCUGAAAGGCUGUCCUCUAGAGAUGUCAGUUGUCCAUUGACAACAGAUGUCGCUGCAACUCGUGCCCUUCUUCCUUGACUUAAUGCUGAUGCCUGCCCAGACAGCAUAUCGUAUUGAGACUGAAGGCGUCUGAGCUGUUUUUGCAACUCCAAAGCUUCAGUCUUCAGUGAUGCAGUAGCGUCCCUGAAGGUGCAAUGAACCAUCAGGAAAGACGGAAUGCAGCAGAAAAAAUUACUACUUUCUCUCGAGAGCUUUAACUUCAUUGAUUCUGCAAUUGUUCAUGAAACCUUGAGGAGCAUUUCAGCGUGUUUAAGCAAAUAGAGCCAAAUCACUGUUUUCACGUGACUUAACAUUGUUCUCAAGAGUAAUCUCCAAGCUUAAUUCAACCAAUAAGUUUCAUAUCUUGUAACUCGAAACUUUGUCCUUACAAAAUUAAAAGAUGUGCAACAGUAGGACAACUAUAAACUAAUAUAAUAUGAAAGGACAAAAUUAAAAGAUGUGCAACAGUAGGAAGAUGUGCAACAGUAGGACAACUAUAAACUAAUAUAGUAUGAAAGGUCCAAUUAAACCAAUGAAGAAAAUGUAAUCACUUUGCACAUCCUAAACUCCAUCCUUCGAAGCACCUUCAAACCUCUUCCAGCUAAAGUAGUAGGAUAUUGACUUCAGCAUAGUAGGUUCACUAUAUGAAGAAGGAUAACACCACUCUGCAGCCAAACUUGUUACCUUAUUUCCUUGAGUCCUUCCUCUGUUCCAAAGACUGCUUCCUGAUUGUCUCUCCUAGUUGAAAAGGCUGAAAUGCUAUCAUAAGCAAAAUCUAGGUCCUCCCCCUAUAAAUUCAAGUCAUCAAAAGCGUGAUUGCAGAUAUGAGAAUAGUAAAUAACCAAGGCUAAAUCAACAUCGCACCAUCCAAAUCGACACCUUUGAUGCAUAAAUCAUUUGUAACACGAACAUUAACGUUAUAUAAGGUGUGGAUUCAGAGUUGAGGGAUGCGGAUUAAGACUUUCUCGUAAUUAAAUAGUUAUGAAAUGCCAAUGGAGAGGAAGAUGAGGGCGGUGGUUCUUUACCUCCAAAAGCUUUCCUUCUUGUACGAACUGUUCAUACCUGAAUGACAGGGAGACAAUGUAAGUCGGGAGGCAAUUAUUGCUUCGGUAAGAAUAGAACAUCAACUACAAAAUCAACAAAACAUUCCCCACAAAAUUUAUGUUUCAUGCUAUACCGCGAAUUCAAAGAUUAGACCUUUUUCCAGUUAGAAAUGAGCCAAAUAAAAAAUCUGACCCAGCAAGAAACCCAGUAAUUAAAAAGCAUUUCAGCUCAAAAGAAGAAGAUAUCAGUAUCAUUUAAGAAAAAAACAGCAAAAUAAGAGACAACGGGAAGAAAUAAUGGAAACGCUACUGGGAAACUUCAGAGGGGGAGAGGACGUUGGAGGGGCGAAGGCUAGAGCAGAGCCAAUCGAGAAUGGGUCGGACGUCGUCGUAUUGGAAAGGCCAUUCGAAGCUGUCAGGGUCCAAUAACUCGUGCCCUUGGUAACCCAACUCCCCCAACAAUGCGCACAAUCGGGCCCCACUACCCAUCUUCUGCUGUCAAUUCGCCGAUCUUCAGAUCUGCCAGCAAGUUACAGUUCCAAGCUGCCCAUUUCAGUUGGGUAGGUGGCACUGGUGGUGGUCUUCCGUCGUUCUUCUGUUCUUUGAUGAGAUUUGGAAGAAUGUAUAUACAGUCCAGAGGAGUAAAGCAGAGAAAGAGAGCGAGCACAAACUUUUGGCGCCGGCCUGACCUGAUCUUGGAGAUUUCUAGGAUAGACGAUUAAAUUUGAAUUCAUUAGGGGGAAUUUUCUCUUUUUAAAAUUUCCCUAUGCUCAAAAAGGUCAAGGGGAAAAGAAGGCCCGAUGUAGCAAGUUUUAUGUUCUUUUAUACAGUAUUUUUUUUCCCUUUUUUUUCUUGUUGCUACAGUCUAAAAACACUAGUAUGUAUGGAUACGAGAUUAUUUUGAAAAAAAUUGUUUAUAAUAAUAUUAUGAUUCUUUUUUAUGACGUGAUAUACAUAGAAUAAGAAAAGUAAUUAAAAAUUAUAUUUAUAAUGUAAAUGGGUUAAUAUUUGGAAAUUUAAGUUCGUUGUCAAGUAGUAUUAAAAAGUUCAAAUUUUUCUAUUACCCUUAUCUAUAUUUUGGUAGAAAAAUAUACCCAUGGAGUCAACGAAUUUAUUUCACAGCCAUGGCUUACCACUGAAUGGUUAAUAAAGCAUCGCUUAAAAGAAGAAAGAUGGAGUAGAAAAGUAGCUUCAUGUUGCAAAGUUUCUUUAGUAACACCAAAGGAUUUCUUGAGACAAGUCCCAACGCCCAAUUUUUUUUUUAUUAAACUUUUGAAGUUAGUUAAUUAAAUCUAAUCUCAAAUUUAAUCCCAAAAACCGACAACUCUUGAGGUAAACUUGAAGACUUAACUACCCAACCCCCAAACCCCUUAGAAUCGAUAUGGGACUACGGGAAAGCUAGUAGGAAAGCCGGCCAAGAAAGCACCAGCUCUUAUGGCUCUGGCCUUUUCCAUCUCUUUGUUUGAGAACAAAUGCUGGCAGUCCUGAGUUCUCUAAAAUAAUGAACUACCAAGUAGAUUAGUAAAUAUGAGGCAGUACUCCAACGUCCUGAACUAAUGUGGAGACACUUCAGAGAAGCUUUACAUGGCCAGUGGUUUGGCUUCUGCAAAAUAAUCCGUAUAUCCAAAAGACAAUUAGCAACAUAUUUGUAUCACCCGAAUGCAAUCCUGGUCAAAGUACAGCACCACCCCUUUUACUAUUGUAACUUUCAACACACAGUCUCAAUCAGACUGAGACGCCCCUACAAGUCCCUGCUUUCCUGCCAACAGAUUAGAACUUUUCUAUUUACAAGCAACUGCAAAGAAAAGUGCCUACGAUUAAGCCAAAACUACUAGUACAAUUUUUUUUGGCUGCAAAGAGAAAGGGCUUGCAAAGAAAUAGAAACUAAGAAAAAAGGAAAAAAAUUAUAAGCUUGAGAUCCGAGACAUUCAAAGUUGCAGUCAGUACACCUUCAUCCCGCCAUUUUGCAUUCCCACUUCAGCCUGGGCAUAGAUGAUCUACCAUCAGAAGAGAAUUUCUGGAUGCAGUUCUAUGCAAAGAUGGAUCGCCUCCAAAAAAAUGCUUAAAAAAGCAUUGCAUGUCAUGAAUCAUCCUCUAGUCACUCGCUAUCACUCUCGGAUAUGUAUCUCUCAGCAUUAAAUGGCUGAUUCCUGGAGGCAAAAUCAUCUGUGCUGAAAUCAUUUCCUCCACUCAUGGGUGCAAAGGCUGCAAUUUGAACACAGGCAGUCAGCAUGCAGCAAUAUAAUAGCACGCAAAUCCAAUCAACAAAUCAGAGGCGAUACUACAGAAAAAAACCCAUAUGGUCAUUUUUCCACUUCCAGUAAGUUACGUUUUAGGUGAUUGAAAAACAGCCAAAAGCAGCAAGCAGGCAUUACCCAAAACUUGACUGUUUUAACAAGAAGACUUGACAAACUUAAUGACUGUUUUAACAAGAAGACUUGACAAACUUAAGCAUCAAGAUCAUCUGACAGAGGAAGGGAUUCAGGCUCAUGCUUCUUGCAGUUAAGUGACAACAACAUUGCUAGUUAUUUUACAGUUGUAACAUAUUAUGAACUUUUCAGCAAAAUCAUAGUAUAAGAACACAUCAAGUAGGUCAAAAAUGAAUAAAUAACUAACCUUUCUCCCUCAUUCUUCUCUCUCGAUCAUAUUCAAACUUAUCACGAAUUUGUCUAACCUUUUGCCAAGUAUUUGCUUCCCUACUUCUCCCCAUUCCUUGGUCCUGCAUACUCAGAGAAGUGAAUCUAUAGAAAAACUACAUGGAUGAUUGGAUAAGCAUGGUUUUAACUAUUAAUAAAAACACCUUAAAGCUACAAUAAAUCCCGAGGCAGAUAGCAGUAGUAAUAUUUUGCAAUCCCCAUCCAUUCAUGAUUUUUGGAACAAAGAAAAGAGUGGAAAGAUCAGUAAGUGGUUCGUCCAGCUCAAUGUUAAACCAACCAACUUCCAUAUUUUCACAAGUAAGUACUAACAAAAUUUGCCCAACUCUUACCAUGAUAAGCAUCCAUGUGCUCAAAUAAUUGCACUUUUUCUAGUGAAUGUUAAUCUCACAAUGUCCUUUGAGGAAAACAUAUAUUCACUAGGGACAAGUAAAACUUGAAGAGCCAACACAUAAUGGAACAACAUAUCCUAGCACAUAUUUUAGGCAUGGACUCUGCGUUUAACCAAUAUUAUUAGCAACUAACUAUUAUAACAAGAGUGAAUAUGUAUCAACUAUCACCUUUUGGAGAAAAAGUCAACAGAAAAAAUAUUUCAAGCAUCAUGAAAUGAAUGUCAUGGAGAGGAAACUGACAUAGAUGGCUAGAGACCAAAGAAAGUAAAAAAUAUCUCUGACCAGCUUGAGAAAAGGGUAGAGAAAACCAUUCUUUCUGUCUUCGAAAUUGACAUAGCUUAAGUGAAAAAUGUGCAUCCAUUCUUUCAGUCGAACUAGAUUAAGGAAGUCCAACAAGCAAAAUGUGGAACAUCAAGAAUUUUUAAUUCUCAGCCUAUUGUCUUAAACCAGCAUCAAAUUCAAAUCCAGUGUCUCAGAACAUGGGAAAUGAGCAGCAUAAUAUUUAACAGCAACAGAAAACUGCAACUGCAAUUUCUAGAUACGCAAGCUAUAAAAAGCAACAGUCUUUGUACCUUGAAUUGCUCAGCCCGGUUUUGCCUUCUUCUGCAACAAGAAGAAAAGAGCCAUAAUCACUUUUUGUGAAGAUAAAAUAACAAAGAAGAAUUAUAAUCUUUACGAAUUCAAAGAACAGCUUACCCAAACAAAAAAAAUUUAAAAAAAAAUAAUAAGAGGACUGUAGCAGCUGGACACGAAAAGUACUCGUAACAUUUCUGAAUAAGUGAAAAUUGCGUAAGACUUAACUUGAGAAAUGAUGAAAUGACUAAAUGUCAUCAGUAGAAUCUACCAAUUCACCAACAUAAGCGUAUAAAACCAAGUGAAUUAUUAUCAUGCGAACAACAUAGGGCAGUCGGUAGAUGCAAUACGAAGAUUUAUACCAAGACAACUGAUCCCAAAAGAAGAAAUGGAGAAAGGAUGAAGGAACAACCUAUACGGGUUGAAAUCUUCAUCAUCACCCUCAGCUGAAUCGUAGCCGGCAUGAUCUUGAGCAAUUUUCUUGGAGUAACCCUCAUCCCAAUACAGCCUCUCCCAAUUCUCCCUCAGCUCAUUGUACAACUCCAUAUAUCUUUUACACCAUGGCUCAUGCUCCUAUCAAUUACAUCCAAUGCAGCAACAGACUUCACUACUAAAUAAGCAAAAUCAUCAGAAAAAACAAAGAAAAGAAAACCAGAUAAAGAGAACUGUACAGAUUCUUUAAGAACAAGCCGAGUGCGGCGCAUGAACUGUUCCCGAAGCUGCUUUCUGCGCUUGUUUGGAAUAUUUUCUCUGGGAAUCACGAAGCGUUCUCUGGGCGGAACGUUUUCCCCAAUCUCGUGCAUCUCGCCGUCGACUACCCACCAUUCUGAUUUGUCUUCGUCUGCUUUCUUAAGCAAAUUCGAUGGGGCAAACUUCUGCCGCCUCCUGUUAUGGGCAGACGAUGAACCGGAGUCAGUUCGGGCCAACCGAAGGUGAACUAAUUGCGGCCAUGGUCUGAGGGCGGAGCUCCGAAUACGCCCGGCGAACGAGAGCAUCGAGGAUUAAUGAACCAAGAUUCAAGCUUUAGUACUUCUUUUAUUUCCUCCUACUCUCUGUAAGGCUUUCAAAACUCAGGCCCCUCAGACGUUAGGAUUUUUACCUCCUACCCUUACAAAUUAACUACGACAUAUUUUCACCCUUGUAAUUUUGCACAUUACUCGCGCCACCCCAUAACCACCCCCCCCCCCCCACCCCCACAAAAAAAAAAUCCCAACAAACCUUUGGUGAAAUAUAUAUGGUGCUUUGAUGAAAUUCAUUUUAGUACCAAAUAGUGCUAAGUGCACACUCAUGUAUGUGUGUGCAAUUAGAAAAUUUAUACGAUUUUUUUUGAUUAAAUUGAUAGUUAUCUUAAUUGUUGUGCCUCUUAAUAGUUAGUUAUGUUGGCAAUAUGUUGUUGGAUAGUUAUGGUAAAGAUUAUGUUGGUUAUGUAUAAUUGUAUAGUAUAGAAAAAAUUUAAUUUUUGUCAAAAGUGACGAAAGGAUAAUUACACCAACCUCUUCCUCCCACUUCAUAUAUAGUAUAGAUUAUAGUCAAUUCAAUAUAGAUUGCACUUAAAAAAUGAUAAAACAACAAAAUCUACCUUAUAUUUUCAUUUUGAAAAAAAAAAAUGAAAAGGAACCUCAAUUUGAUUAAAACAUCAUAGAUAUAAUUUGGUAUAAUGCCAUCGAAUCAAAAGAUUUUGGUGGACUUGGAUUUCAAGUUCUCAAUUCAAAUCCCCUAAAUAGUUUGAUUAACUCCAAAGAUCAACCUCUCAGGCUUCAGUUUCUAACAAUUCAUUUGGGGGUUUAGAUUUGAUAAGAAAAGAACAGAAAAGGGCUGGAUUUACGUUGUUGCUCUGCCUUCAAAAGGUUUCCGUCCAUUUACAAUGGACGGAAAGCCGGAGAAAGAUUUGCGUGAAUUUUUUAAAAACCAACUCUAUUUAGAAUGACUUUGAAACUAAACGGUUUGUUGGGAUUGUAAGUUAUUUGGAAUAUUUUUACUGUAACAUUUUUUGUGAUGUGAUGUAUGUGAGAUAAAAAUGUAAUCGAAAAAAUAAAAAGGUGUAUUGAAAAUUAUAAUAAUGAUGUAAUCAAAUAAAAUUAGAGAAAUAAUACUCAAUCCAAACAAAUUAAAAAUUUUAAUGACAUUAUUAUAUCCAAAAUUGUCCUAUUUAUUUCAUAAACUAUUAAACAACAUAAAGUAUAUUCUCUUCUUUUUUUUGCCAUUUCUUUUCUCUCAACAUCUAAGAUUUUUCUUCAUCUUCAUCUUUUUUCCUAUCCUCAACUCCCCAACUAGCCAUAAGAGGUCAUUUAAAUUGCUACCUUCUAUAGUUUUUAUACAAAAAUGCGAUGUAUCGGUCUAAUAUAUAUGAAGUGAUAAAGCAACUAGGAAAUGAAUUUACCAAAAACAAAAAACAAAUUCGGCAAAAAAAUGUUGAGUUGGAAUGAUUUUUAUUCCUCGUUGGGUCAGGGUGGGUUCAAGCACUGUAAAAAGUAAAAAGCGAACCAAUAGAUUUGCUAAAUAAGAUGAUUCCUGCUCCGAAUCUCAAGAGAAGAGUGAAAAAUUUCUCAAGAAAAUAUGAAGAAACCAAAGCGGUUGAUUUGCAGUUCCACGGCCGGGUACGACUUACGAGCAACUAGGAGCAGAAGGCAAAAACUUGGGUGAACCCGGUCUACAGACCCACCGGCAAAAUGCCCAACCGGAACCCACUUCCUUCCCGCCCUUAUUAAACAAAGAGGAAAAGAAAAGUCAACAAAACACGAGAAAUUUCCUGCUAUCAGUCUCAGAAGUCCGAUAGCUUGCAGAGCACAAAGACCAAAAAAAGAAAGAGAGAAAGGAGAGGAGCUAUGUGUGGAAGGGCUCGCUGUACUCUGAGGCCUGAUGAUAUUCCUAGAGCUUGUCACCUCAACGCCCGUCCGAUUCGUCAUGUAGACAUGAAUAGGUAAACCCACUACUUUUUUUUUUUUUUUAAACAAAUACUUUUUGUUGUUCAUUAGUUUUUAAGUGAACUCUAGAACUCUUUGCUGGCUACAUGGGUUUGUUUGUGAAAUUUUUAGGUAUCGGCCGGCGUAUAAUGCCUCGCCUGGUUUUAAUUUGCCGGUCGUCAGGAGAGAAGAUGGCCAGGGCGGAGAUGGGGUUGGUCAGGCCCAACUGGAGCAAGGAGCUGUAGUUCAGUGUAUGAAAUGGGGGCUCAUUCCUAGCUUUACCAAGAAAACCGAAAAGCCUGAUCACUUCAAGAUGGUAAUCAAUGUCAUCCAUCCUAGAGUAAUAGUGUGUAUUCUUAUUUCUGAUUUUUUUUUUUUUGGGGCAAAAGAGUUGUUCUUGUAUUAGCAGUUUAUCUGAGAUAAAAAAAAAAUUUCUACAAUAUCUGCUGACUGUAGAUUGUAGACCACUGCUACGGGGACUUUUCUUUUUGGGGGGGGGGGGAUUUUGAACAGUGUCUUGGACGUUAGGAGCCGUUCAUUUGUGAAGAUUGUUUUCCGCAUUUUGCAAUUUGCUUGCUCUCAAUUAAGUUAGGUCAUUCCACAAAUUGUCUGAGAGUCUUCUCUUGCUGAUGAUUGUUCGUGUUUGAGGUUUUAAGGUAUUAGAUCUUUGAAGGCAUAUGUUAUUUUUGAAGCUUUGCAUCUUUAUAGUUUCUUCUUGGAAGAGCUCACGUGGAUACCUGAGUAAAUGAGAUUGAUUCUGGUCGGACCGUAUAUUCUCGAAUUAGUUGAGUACUUAUGUUUCUGGUUUGUUUCUGCAUGGAUAAUUUUACCCUUAUAAAACUGUCUUUAAGACGGCCCCGAGAAAGUUUAAGCAGGGGGGUGGGAAAAGAUACUUUGGAUUGCAAUGCGAAUAUCUAGCUUUAGAUGGCUGCUAUGCUUCUUAUCUUUGCUAAAUUAGACUUUAAGCAUUGAGGAUGGUGUUGCUUGUUGCAGUUUAAUGCUCGGAGUGAGUCAAUAAGAGAGAAGGCUUCUUUUCGCCGUCUUCUUCCUAACAAUAGGUGCUUGGUUGCUGUUGAAGGGUAUGUAGUUGAUAUUAACAUGAGUGUAGGGCCUCCCUGCUCGUAUAGCUUUUGGUUUUUUUUGUUUUGGCAUACUAUGUUGUACCAAAUUUGAAAUCUGGCCAAGUUUAUCCUCACUAUCCUGUCAAUUUUAGUGCUGUCAGGAAUGUGGUUGAUCUGUUGUAGAUAUUGCUUUUGUUCUCUUUUAUAGUUCCAUUUUAUGCUCGUUAUGUUGUUCUAGCCAAUUAAUGAUUUGAAUUUGAAAAUGAUAAGCCAUAGAUAAACAUGCCUAUAUUUUGGUACAUUGAAAAAUUUUAUGCAAUUGGUAAACCGUGUCUGGUUGGCAAAGAACUUUCACACACCUUUAUUCUUCAUUUGAUAUGUUACCUUUGCAAUUUAAUUAGUCAUCUUUCUAAAUUUUAAUUCCCAAAUUGCUAUUAUUGCUAUAUAGUUUUAUUUCUUUCUUUACUUUACAAAAUGGAGUUUUAUCGAACUUCUCAAUUUGUUUAACCAUUUCUCAUGUCAUACUACCAAAAGCAAAAAGUGACAUGGUUUUGCUAUUGAAAAUUUUGUUCAUUAGGAACAUUAAGAAUCUUCUAAGUUGCAUUUACGAGAUUCAAUGGACCAUCUCGAUCUGUCUUUUUUAAUUGUGAUAUAGGCUGCUGAAAGGGGAUACUUGUCUGUUUUAAGUUGAUGUUGUACUUUACGUGAUGGUAGCUAUAACCAAGCACUGGUUAUUGUGCUCAGAUUCUAUGAGUGGAAAAAAGAUGGUUCAAAGAAGCAACCUUACUACAUAUAUUUCAUGGAUGGGAGGCCCCUAGUUUUUGCUGCUCUUUUUGAUUCUUGGAAAAAUUCAGAAGGUAAACUUGAAGUGAUGGACAUCCUGAUAUCUCUCUCAACUUAUAGUGACACAUGCAAGUUUCUGCAAGCAUCAUCCUUGUUAUUGCCAACAUUCCAUUUAUAUUUGGAUCAUGUCCAAAAAAUUGGACUCCUUAUGUUGAGGAUUACUGUCUUUUGUCUACAGGACCUGUUGAUAUUCAUAUAGUAGCUCAAGAUGCGUUUGUUCUUCUCUUCAUUUUCCCCUCUUUUGAAGCUUAUGUUGGAACAUGGUCUAAAAUAGCAACAAGUCCAUUUUUACUCUUUAGUCUUUAUACUCUCUUUACUUUCUGCAAGAUUGGUUCCUAAUGCUUCCACAUGCAGGUGAGGUCUUUUAUACGUUCACAAUAGUUACAACUUCAUCAUCAUCCACUUUGGAAUGGCUGCAUGGUAAGAUAUACAAAUGCUUUGUUCUUUUCUUGUAGCCUCUCCAGUAAGUUAAUAUAUUUUUCUUUGUCUGAUAUUGGAGUUAUUUAUGCAUAACUGGUUCUUUACAUUGUAGACAGGAUGCCUGUGAUUCUGAGAAACAAGGAAGCAACAGAAAUGUGGUUAAAUGGUCGUUCAUCAUCUGAUUUUGAUACAAUACUGAAACCGUAUGGAGAAUCAGAUCUGGUGAGAAUAUCAAUGAAAUAGAAGAACGGUAUUUUCUUUUUCAUUUAUGCUGCAUGAAUCUAAAAUUGUACGAAUUUUGUAGGUAUGGCAUCCCGUAACAACUGCUAUGGGUAAACUUUCUUUUGAUGGCCCAGAAUGCAUUAGUGAGGUACCGGUCAUCUAGUUUUCUACUAAGAUUUAAUAUAGCAUGGUCAGCUGCUCCUCUGUCUUUUUCACUUGCAAGAGCACAAUUGACUGACUGGAGAGUAUUGAAUGCAAGUCCAUACUAAUUUUAUUUCUUAUUUUAUCUAUGCGAUUUUAUGGUUUUCAACGAUAACUUUAUUCUACUAAAAAAGCAUUCGCUCGUUAACAGUAGUCACUUUGCAUAUUAUGUGUGUCAGAUGCUGCCACUUUUAUGCCGUGGGUUCUGAUUUGUGUUGAACGUUAAUGCGUUAUCUUGGUUGCACUGCAGAUACAACUGAAGAGAGAUGAGAGCAAAACCAUCUCACAGUUUUUCUCCAAGAAAGGAGCAAACAGUCAAGCAGACUCAAAAACUGAAAACAGAACAAUAAAGGGAGAGCCAAUGGGCUUGCAGGAGGAAUCUGAAGCUGAUGAUUUAACCAACCAUCAACAUGUCACCAAAUCAGCUGAGAAUGACAUUAAACCCGAUUUUUCCAAUCUUUAUCGUGCUGAGGCUCUACAUAUUCCAGUAAAGCGAGAAUACGAAGUAUGUUCAAGUGAUACAAAACACACUGAUGAUGAAAGUGAGAAGCUACAUGAAAGUCCAGUAACAAAAAAGGUUAGGGGUGCAAGUGAAGAAACAAUGGUGAAACUUGAGGAACAAACUCAGAAAACAUCUCCUACCAAAACUCAUAAGCCAGGUGCGAGUUCAGUGAGAAAGAAAGCUUCUAGCUCCGGUGACAAACAACCAACAUUAUUUUCUUACUUUGGGAAGUGCUAGAAGGAUGUGGAUACCCCCCUACUUUGGCUAUAGCUCAACUGGUCAUUGCUGAAAACUGUGGAUAAAUUUUUGCUUAACCUAUCAAAGGAACCAGGCAAGAUGCAGUGCAAUUUUGGAGCCGUUUUGAUUCUAGUUUUCCGGAUCAGGCGCGUCUAUUUCUGGCUAUGGGCUAUAGCCCUUUGUACUGUAGUCUCACGGUGAGGGUUUCAUGGAACUCGUGUCGUUUUGAAGCUGUAAAAUGAAGAAUGUAGUACAAAAUUCAUUAGGAGUUUGUAGCUUACAAGGAAGGUAGUCCUGUUAACAUAUAAUUUCCCAUACUUUGCAGCUGUGCAUCUGUCAACUUGUAAAGGCCAUUUAAGCAAGUAAUGGAGAUUCAAACUAUCUUCCCUUAGAAGAUUAGUGGCGGGGCAAAAUUAGUUGUUGAUCAAUGCCAUUUUCACCAUUACGAUCCCAUUUCCCUUGUAAAAUGUUCAAUUGCGGAACCAAUAUAGCGAUGGUAGAAGUUCUUUGAGCUUUGCUUCCACUUAAAAAAGAAAAAAAAGAAGUGCAAAAAUUCAAAUUUAUAUCGCUAGAUAGACCAAAAGCGGACUCCUGAACACGAACCAGGGACCAACAGCGCUUGACUACUUGCUAGCGAUAAACAUACAUCACAGCAGUAUUAUAGUUUCUCCAAAAGUUACAAAAUUGAUAGUACUAACUGUCCUUAAUCCAUAACCAGAGAUACAAACGCAGCAGGUCAGAUCGAUGAUCCGCUCACUUCAAAAUCCUUUGCUGCUUUUCAAAAUGGAGCCAAGCGUCCCCAAAACGGCAAAAGCCAACAACGGACUGAUAUCUAAGGUAUCGAAGAUCGGAGGGAUUAUAUUCCGGAAAAGAUUCAAAUACGGAUCACACAGGUCCCUAAUUGCAGACAAGGGCUGCCUAUCCCAAGGUAUAUUGGGGAACCAGCUCAGCAAAACCCUAACCAUCAAAACCCCGCUGUAUAUAUCCAGCCAUUUGGCCAUCCCGGCUGCAACCACGGUGAACGGCGUGUUCAAAGUUCCAGUGGAAGCAUCCCGAAUUGCGGCGAAAAAAGCCGGGCCGGCGGAGUGGACUAAAGGCUCCGGCAGGCCAUGAAAGCCCUUCAAUUGCAGGCCCAGAUUGAGAACCUUGUCGGCCAACAGCUUGGGGGCCGUUAGAGCGAGAGCCAACAGCGUAGUCACUGUCCGAGUUGAACCUGUGAGCAAAGAUAGAGCGGGGUUCUGGUAACCAGAGGUUUUGGCAGAUGAGUUACUGAGGAGGGUCGACGAGGAAGCGGUAAUCAUUGCCGGCCUUUUAGGGUUUGCGAGGGCGACGGAAAGCCUCAGAGGAUAGGCAGCGGUAAGGUUGUUCGGAGAAAUAACGGUAGGUUUUCGGAAGAUUAAGGUCUGUGAGGCUACGAGGGAAGAAGCCAUCUGGGUUUGGCUCGAACGAAAUCUCCGGAUUCUGAGUACUGCAGUGCGGAGUCGAUUCUAGACUUGCCCAAGAUGUCUUCCUUCAAUUGGGUUUUAAGUAAGUAUUCCGAGUCUUAUCUAUUCUUUUUUAUAUUCCAAUAAGUAGUACUUUACUUUCCAGACUCAGGCUCAGGAAUUGGUGGUGUUAUUUCACCAGUUACCGUCUUUGCACAAUUUUAUUCGAUGGGCCUCAUUUUUUGAGACCUCCUUUGCACCUGCUUGCCACAAUCAAAAUUUCACACAAGUAAAGUCUUACAAAACUCCUGAUAUGUUUCGAUUGUGAGAAAAAAUCGAGAAUUUAAAUUGAUCUUUCUCAGUAUGUUAACUUUUUUCUUUUUGGGUAAAAUCAGAUAUAAAGUAUGUGUUAAUUGGUUCUUCCUUCAGAAGCCAUGAACUUAAUGUAUCUCUAUGUGCAUUAUCAUGUUAACAGCGUGCAUUUUCCUGUAGUACGUAAGUUUCAGUUCAUAUUUGGAUAGAUUUGAUUUUCAAAAAUUCAAUGAUUCAAAUUAGCACGAGAGAAGUCCAAAAUAGUACUAAUCUCUUCAAUCUUUAUCAAUGCUCAUUUUUCAGUUGGUAUACUAUGUUUGAAUUGCAUUUUUUUGAAGAAAAAUUACUGUAAUAAUUUGAUAUAUGCGAGAUAAAAAUAUAAUUAAAAAAUAUAUUCACGAAAACGCACCUCAUUGUGUGACAAUGAUAUGAUCAAAUGUACAAUAGGCAAAAACAAAGGCCUGAUGUGCCUCUGGCAACAAGCAACUCCCGCUUCCCAUUUCAAACUGUGGAUACAUUGAAAUUUGAAACUCAUUCCUUCAACCCUUUUUUUUUAUCAGCAACGACACAUUUGUAUAACCUACUCUAUUCUAAUUUAGGGAGGGGGAGAGGGGGAGCCUAAGGAGGCUGUAAUAGGAACUAGUUUAGGGAGGGGGAGGGAGGG